rnacentral:lncRNA from 1 species
UAGCAUACGAAGACUUCAUUUUGCAAAUAGAGGCCUCGUAGAAAGAAAUUAAUGUGGUAGCCCUUUCCCAAGAAACAAAUAAAUUAAAAACUUUGAGUCCACCAAGCAUUUAAAUCCAAGUAUUGCGUUCACAUCUAUCCCUUUGUGAUGUAUUUAUUUACCUGAAAUUGAUAAUUAGCACGUCAAGACUCAUCUCUUUAUCCUUGAAACAACCAAGCCCAUUUUGCUAACACACAAUUCCAUUUCUCCUAUGCUACUUCCUCUUGCCAGAAUGAAUUCCUCGGCCUUUUCUUUUCUUUCAGAUUUUGUUCUUGUAUUGUUGCUCUUCAUUCAAGUCCCUUCAUCCUCGAGCAACGAUGACCUGCUCAGUACUGCCUGUAGUAAAAAGUUUGUGUGUGGAAUAUUUCCAUGGAUUUUCCGUUUUGGGGAACUGACAGGUCAUCUGCCUGUGGCGUUCCAGAUUUUAAGCUCAGGUGUGAGAAUAAUACUGCCAAGAUGAGUAUCAGUCAGGUUGCAUAUCGGGUUUUGGAAAUCAAUCAGGAUAAUGGAAUUCUCAGGAUUGCAAGAGAGGACUACUUUGUUGGAUUGUGUCCACCUCAAUUUAGGAACAGCACGUUCAAUCCUAAGGUUUUCGAGUAGUAUGUUGAGGGUUACAAAAAUAUGACAUUCAUUUAUGGUUGCAAGGAUGCUCCUGAUCCAACCAUACCUGGUACAAUACCUAGUAUACAUUUCACUUGCAAAAUAAAUGAGGUUAAUGAUCAAGGUGGUUAUAUCCAAGUAGGAGAUAAUGGUCCAGGGGAAUGCUAUCAUAGUGUCUUUGUGCCAGUUUCUGUAACAGAUUGGCAACCAUUCGGGAAUAUGCAAGCUUUUGAUUGGUCACAAUUCGGGAAUAUGCAAGCUUUUGAUUGGUCACAAUUCGGGAAUAUGCGAGCUUGGGAAGAACUCUUGAAAAAAGGAUUCGAGAGAUGGUAGGAAGGUCGAUGGGGAGGCGUGGGGAAUGCUCAACCUCUUCAGGUAUGUACCUCAACUUCUCCUCGAAUCAGUUUAUGGUGAACUCCAGUCACUUGUUGAUGCUGCACACACCUUAAUUAGUUCCGUUCCUGUUUUGUUAUUUUAGUUUUAUUUUAAAUAGACUUGGACAGAAGUAAACAUCAAUAUGAUGAUGAUAUUGAUCUCUUAGAACCACUUGAAUAGUCGACUAUUAGGGUGGCUCGAACUGCAGAACCAGAACCACAGCUUUCUGGUUAGGAAACGGUCACACCAUAGCUAAAUUGAUGCCCAUGGUGUCUUAUCAUACAACCAGUCGUAGGAAAUCUUGAUGGCAUGUUCUGCAGAAUUUUUUAACUGACAGAAAAUUAUAUGUGAUUUUUGUCUACUAAUUGAUCAUAGCUAAGAAUUUAACUUGUCUGCUUUAAGAAUUGCCUAAAUUAUUUAUUCAGUCCUCGUUUUAUUAUAAAAAUAAUUAGUUAGUCCAUCUGAUUAAAAAAAGACAAUAUUAUAUCCCCAUGUUUUCAUUUCCAUGAUAUUUUAAUCUGUUCCCUAAGUGUUUGUUAAUUAAGUGCUGAGAUGUCACCAAUUUAACUCUUUUUUGUCCUCAAAUAUCCCCUUUUGAAUUAAAAUAAAUUUAUAAAACUCAAUUUAAAAUCAAACUCCUCAAAAUUUAGUUCAUGGAUUAAAUGAGUUGACUCAUAUCAAUUUAAUUUUUUAAAAAAAAAAACCUUGAAGUGAAGUUGUUUUGAGCUUUAAAAUAAUAAUAAUAAUAAUAAUAUUGUUUUAAAAAAAUCUCUAAGUUAAGCCUCAAGUUAGCAAUUUAUAAAAUUGACCUAGGCCGAGCAAAAAUUAUAACUACGAAUUUUUCCAUUUUUAACAUGCAUGUGAUUGUUGCCUCGUGGAGCUGUUCAUAUUCCUUGACGGCUGGACCGGCAAGGUACCAGACAAAAACAUACAAUAACAGAGGAUUUGUAAAAUAAAUGUCCGAGACUCUCCUGGCAUAUUUUUACCUUAGCUUGCAUGGAUAUUCAGAGUCUAAUCAACAUAAUAGAAAUUACAGGGAGCCUUUGGUAAUUAAAAUAUGGGGAAAAAUAAGGAAGGAUAACACCAGGAAAUUCACAAGGUGAUGCAGAAAUGGAGUCCACAUCAGAGACUUGGUCUUUCUGCAGAUGUCAUUUUCUUCUUUGUUCUUUUUCCUGGAAUAAUCUAUCAGAUGAAACUUCAAAUUCCCACCUCCUGUUUUCGUCUGAUUUGACUUUAGGUGGCAUCUAUGAAAUUAAUUUUAAAUAAUUCACACGUUUAUUCUAGGAAUAGACAUCUCUUUGAGAUACAUGUAAAUCUUCUGGUGGUCAGUGUGGUUACAACAAGACCACUACAGCAUUCACUUGUUACUGUGCGGAUCAACCUCGAGAUUUUGAAUGCUCAGCAACACCACAGGCACCUAGUCAAUCAACAAGUAUGUCCUCUUUUCUUUCUUGAUAAUUGCUAUGAUUGGAUAGAUAGAGAUAGCUGAAAUCUAAGACAUGCCCUCCAGGCUAGGUGAUGUAGGAACCUAGCUAGCUAUUGAGAAUUGUUCAAAGCUCCAUGAUCCUGAAGAGAACACCUUCCUUGACCAUUUAAUUCCAGUAUAUAUCAAGGAAACGAAGACUUCGAUUAACUGACAAAGACUUUAUAACAUGAAAAUAAAGGUUGCCCCUUGUCACAAGGAGCAAUCCUUAAAGUAUUCCCUUUCAUUUCCAUGAUAUUUUACAGGGAAUAUUAGGUCGUUAAAAAAUGGGGAAGAUACACAUAAUAUAUCUAGAGUCGAGUCAAGUGAGGCUUCGUCUGAAACCCAAUGUCACACAAUCAGUUUCAAUAAACCUCUUAAAAAAUAAAUUAUAAAAAAUUAUAAAAUUUAAUUUUCAAUAAAUAUAAUUUUAAAAGAUAUAAUUAAAAUUAUAAAAAAUAUAUUAUUUAAAUAAAUAAUAUUUUGUAAAAAAAGAUACAGUAAAAUUACCUUUUCUUUUAGUCAAGUCAAGCGAGGCUUCCUCUCAAGUCUCAAUCACUGAAACCCAAUGUCACGCAAUCAAUUUCAACCUUCUAUUUAAUUUAAUUUCUAUACAUUUAUUUCUUUGUUUGCUAGCCCAGUCCAUACUCGAAGUGCGUUUUUUAAUUUGUCAUAGCACCCCAAUUUGAUGUUACAUCCCUGCAAGCGAUCGCCUGUGGGAUAUCACAGUACAUUUUACGUACAUGACCGUAGCUUUAAAACAAAUAAUUCAAUUUUUUCGGGCUUUUUAGUCCAAAGGAUUUCUCAAACUAAUCUACAAUUUUCUCAGUAAUUGUUAAUUAUAAAUACAAGUUUGGUAGUUGGAGGAGGGCAUGCAAUAGUUAUUAAUUAGUUUCUUUGGAUCGGAUAAAAAUGUUUUUAAAUAUAAAAAAAUUUCUCAAGCCAUAUUGAAGUCACAUUGUUACCGGUGUGGUUGGGGUUUUUUUUUUUUCUAAUUUUUUUUUUUUACUUUUUUGUCAAGUCCAUAAGUUAGAAUGAAAUUAUUCUUUAUUAUUAGGUUGAUGAUAAAUUUUUUUAUAUUUUUAUCAUAAAAUAAAAUAAAAAAAUAAAUUAAUUAAAUCAAGUUCAUAAUCUUGAUCAUGAGUUUGACACGUUGACUAAAUAUUAAUAAAAAAGUCGGGGUUUGGGUUUUUUGGCAUAUUUUUAUAUAUCUUUGGGUUUUUUUUUGCCAAUUCUAUUAUUUAAUGUGGGGUUUUUAUUGAAUUUUAUCAUUUAAUAUUGGAUUAAUAAUAAAUUAAUCUUAGUAUUUUCAAUAUAAUAAAAUAAAAAUUAAUUCGACCCAAUGAAUUCCAUAACCCAGGUUACAGAGUUGACAAGUUGACUAAAUUUCAAUAAAAAAAUUUAGAUAGGAAUUUUUUCAAGUUUAAAUUAUUAUGCCGAAUUUAAUCAAAAUACCACAAAGUUUUGAGCAAUCUAAAUAUGGUUUCUAAAGUUUCAAAAAAUUUGUGUUUAACCUACAGCGAAAGUGCAGGUGGAAAAACUAGUAGUAAUCAAAUCGAUGUAGCAUGGUUCUUUUUUUAGCUUUAUGUCUCAUUUUGUAUGUAAAUUAAAACUUGCAAUCUCAUGUAAUAUUUAAACUUUAUGCUUUAUAAAAAAAAAUGAGCUUUUUAUUUUUUAAGGAUGUAAUUUGAUUAUAAUUGAAGUGAGGGGAGGAGAAGUAUAUAUUUUGACAUUAAAAUAUAAUAUCAUCAACUUUAAUGUAGUUUUAGUUUGAAAGUACAAGGUUACAUAUUAAUAAUUCAGCCUCUAAAUGAAUAUAUUGUGUCAUAUAAUGCCAUAUAACAUAAAUCUAAUAAUUACAUUUCCUAUAAAAUACGCAAUCUUCAUUCCAACAAUUAACGCAGUCCCAACGUGAACUCCCUAACAUUAUUUGAUGUCCUGUUACAGGAUCUUCAUGGAGUCGUAGGCGACUACAUAGUGCUAUAGGUAAAUAUUAUCAUAAGAAAUCCUUUUUUUCGUUUGAUGAUGAUGGUAUUGAUGAUGAUGCAUCUUAAAUUACAGGCAUAUCAGCAGCUAUGGCAGCGAUAAUAACUUUUUUCAUAAUUACAAUAUGUCUCACUAGAAGAAAAGGUUCAUUUAGUGCCGUCAUAGCAAAGAUCUUCAGGUCGAAGAAUUCGCAGCAUGUUGACAGUGUUGAAACAUUUAUGAUGGACAACCAUUCUCUUACUCCGAAGCGUUAUUCAUAUUCAGAUAUCAAGAAAAUGACCAGCUCAUUCGUCAAUAUACUAGGUCAGGGGGAUUUGGUUAUGUAUACAGAGGAAAGUUACCAACGGUCGUCUCGUGGCUGUAAAAGUUCUAAAAGAGUCCAAAGGUGACGGAGAAGAGUUCAUGAAUGAAGUUGCAAGCAUCAGUAGAACUUCCCACGUGAAUGUAGUUACCCUUUUGGGCUUUUGCUACGAGAGGAAUAAAAGAGCUUUGAUUUAUGAAUUCAUGCCCAAUGGAUCUCUAGAUAGCUUUAUAUUUGAUAAAGGAUUCCCUCAUGCAAACUGUCGUUUAGAAUGGAAAAAAUUAUAUGAAAUUGCAGUUGGUAUUGCUAGAGGUUUGGAGUACUUGCAUAGAGGGUGUAACACUCGGAUCGUGCAUUUUGACAUAAAGCCUCACAACAUUCUUCUUGAUGAAGAAUUUUGUCCAAAGAUCUCAGAUUUUGGUCUCGCGAAGCUAUGCCAGAGCAAAGUAAGUAAGAUUUCGAUGAUAGGUGCACGGGGGACUGUUGGUUACAUAGCACCUGAAGUAUUCUGCAGAUCUUUUGGAGGAGUAACUUACAAGUCCGAUGUGUAUAGUUAUGGAAUGAUGGUUCUUGACAUGGUCGGACAAAGUAAAGACUUUGAUAUGGGAUCGUUGGAAACCAACGAGAUGUAUUUCCCGGAUUGGUUUUAUAUGUAUCUUGAACCAGGAAAGAUUUCAACACUUCAUGGAGGUACAACGAAAGAGGAAGAAGAGAUUGUUGAAAAGAUGAUCUUAGUGGGUUUGUGGUGCAUCCAAACCAUUCCAUCACAUAGACCAUCAAUGACAAAGGUGGUAGAGAUGUUUGAAGGCAGUCUUCAAUCUUUGCAAAUUCCACCGAGACCUUCCUUUUCUUCUCCUAGAAGGUCCGCUCAAGAGCACUCUUCCGCUGUAUCAUCACUGCUUGGCGUGUCGUCGCAGGGAGAUGAGGUAAACAGAUUGCCUGCUGAUUAAAGUGACUUGUAACUGGAAACUGAAAACUUUAUGUUGCCUGAUAAAAUUAAUAAAACCGGUAUUUGUUCUUCAUCUAAGAGCUGCUAUAGGCUGAACUAUUUCGACUUUGAUAUAACUCAUGUACGAGAGGACACUCGCUGAGUGCUGGCAAGAAAGACUACGCUCUCACCUUCUCUCUCUCUCUCUCUUUUGUCAAUGAUGUAAACCAAUUCUAGUUUGUACUUGAUGUUCAAUAUGUGGGAGGUGCAGAAUUGAUCUGUUAUUUCUUGAUUGUCAUUGUUUACAAUUUCAAAGUUUAGACAAGACUCAGAGGUUGAGCUUAUUAUUACUUAUGGUUAAUGUCAUUGAGGCUUCAUUACUCAGAUGUUCAAUAUAUUUCUUACUGGUGUUCGUAUUUUGAUUGAGCAGCUGAAUUAAAAUCAAAUCAGGAAAGUUAACAUAAAUCUUCUACUCUUCGUCAAUAAGUUUCCUGUUGACAUUCUUGUGAAGAACCGAUACCUGUGUAUGUUUGUAGGGAGCACAGAGGGGAGGUCUUCAAAGGCUUUUGAAGAUCUUUCUGCUGUGCCAAUUGGGGUCAAAAUAGUCGUUCCACGAUGAAGUCAAUUUGAGCUUUCAGAAUGCGUAACAACCAACCAAUCUUCCCUUGGUAACAUACUAACAUUAAUGCCAAUCUAAGCAGCUUCUUGGGAUGUGUAGAACUAGUGUUCUUUUCCCGGCAUCUCAACCAGCUGCUCUGCGUAUAGGCAGCAACACUACUGAACCAUAUGUGAUCUAAGUGUUUAAUCAAGGUUUAUUGUGCCAACAUGAUAUCAACUUUGCCAAAAAUCAUCAUCAUGUUUUUAUAGUUCUGCUCUUCUUCUUUUUUCGUGAAUGAGUGAUUUCAUUUAUCGAAGAUGAAAUGGAAGAAACCAAACCCUGCUUACAAGGCUUCAGGGAAAACGAAAACAAAAGGAAGGGAGGCUGUAAAAUCACUUUACAGAUGACCGUUCCUUUUCACCUGCUCCUGACAGCAAAUUAAAUACGGUCAAGAAGCUUGCUGGCAGUAGAAUAUAAUUCAGUAUGAUUCAAGUUAUUUUUUAAUUAUUAUUUUUAAAUGUUAUCCUUUUAUGUUGGAUUAAUUAGAAAUUAAAUUUUAUAAUUUAUUACAAUUUAUUUUUUAUUGAGUUAUUAUAGUCUCAUGACCAGGAUUAUAGUUUAGCUGGUUAACCCGAAUUGAUUAAAAUCAAUCCAAUAUGUGUUAUCUUAAUAUUUUUUAAAAAACAAAUAGGUGUUAUCUGAAAAAAAAUUUUAAAAAUAUUCUUUAAAAAAAAAUUAAUCAAAUUAUUUUUUAUCAAUAAACUUGUUGUUUUUAAACACUCCAAAUUAAUGCGAUUACAUUAAAUCAAUCCUCGCAAGCAUUACAUAUUAGUUUUUUGCGGAAGUUAAUGUGAAAUUACCGAGUGGUGACGAAUUAUAUAAAAUGUAUUGAAAUGACUAAUUGUCAGGUUGUUUGGUAUUAAAUUAAUAUAUAUUUUUUAUAAUUUUAAUAUACUAAUAUAAAAAUAAAAUUAUUCAAUACAUUUGAAAUAAAAAAUACUCUUAAAAAUCAUUUUUCCUCGUAAUUCUAAACAAAACCUAAAAAUGAAGGUUUUGCUGGUCGGUUGUUUAGCUUUUAAAAACAUAAAAUCAGAGCAUUGAAAUCAGGAUUGGUUUUGGAUUCGUUUAAUAGCCUCAAUAACACUCUGGCCAAAAGUGCUUCUCCAAAUGACAGAACGUCUACACACUCCACACCAUCUUAAGUGCUUCUACCUGGUCCCAGCUCAACUUCUCCCUCAGCUCUGGCCCGUCUUAGACAUGCCUCCCCAAGAUAUGAGCUCUCCACGUCUCCUCUCUAAAUGUAAAAAAAUAAAUGGCAACUUCACAUAUGAUAUUACUAGUACGUUAGUUUUCAAAAAUAUAAAAAAAUGUUAAGGGUAUAAAUAAAUUUUUAACCAUUUAUUAAAUCUAUACAAUGGAUCAAUAUUAAAAUCUCACGAUAUAUUUGUCUUACUCGAUUUCCAACUAAAUAACAUAAACUAAUUGAUUCCAUGAUUUAAAUGCAAUAUUAAAGAUGAUAAAAACACGACUUAAUUUUUUUUAAAAAAAAUUCAAGAUAAUAAUUUUUUUAAAAAAAAAUUAUUUAGACAAUAAUAGAUUGAGUCGAUAUCAGUCUCCCAAUGACCCGUGUCAUAGACUUUAUUAAGUUCAAUAAUGUUUUUUAUAAACUAUUUGUUUUAAUUAUAUAAUAAGAAUAUAUGGUUAUAAAAUUAAGCAUACCCUAAAAAUAAAAACUUAUUUGAGAUAUUGAUAACUCUAUAAAAGACAAACAAAAAUAAAUCAUUUAAUUUAUUUCCAACCAAUCUAAUAUUAAAAUAAUAGUUAAACUCGUCAAAUCUAUGAAUCUAGAAUACACCCUAAUAACCAUGUUAAAUCAAUCCUUAACCUUAAAAGUGCAAAAAACCACUUCAAAAUCCAAAAUCAACUUGGAACCUAGUUUCUUUCCGAGCUUGGAUUUAUUUUUGUAAGCACUAUCAAGGUUAAAAAAAAAAACAUGUUUCAAACUCUAUCCAUUGUAUGGAACCAUUUGGAACAAAAAUCUAUCAUUUUGGUGGUCAAAUCGUAAAAACGACAUCUCUCUCGUUCUAGGUCAAAUUCGGGCAAUUCCUUUUCUCUUUUCUCACCCAAUAAAACUGAAAAAUGAUUAAAAUAAAGUUCAGUAUCAAAAUUAUUUUUUAUAGAAUUAGAGAACCGGUCACAUAAUAGUUAAAAAAACAGGUGACUCAAAUGUAUUUUUCAAACAAAAUUAAAAGGCACUAUCUAUUUUACCCAUGCUUUUCAUUUAGUCAUCUAGCUUUCAAUUCAAUUUCUCUUUAAAAAACAUGCAAUUGGGUACUAAUGUGGGUUUAAAAGGGUUCAAUCGUAAAAAUAAAAAAAGUUUAAUCAUCAAAUUAAAAUUUUUAAACAAAUCAUUACUCAUAUCCAUAGUGAUAUGUGAAAUGAUAAAUAAUGAUUUUAAACAGUGAAAAUUUCACACCUUUCUUAUAAUUUGGCAAUAAAAGUAUACAUACUCAAGCAAAAGACUACAUGUAUAAAUAUGAGUGAUAGGAACAGCUACACACACUAAAUACACAUGAUAAUUAUGGUACAGAAAUGUUUGUUGUUUAUAUAAUUUUUAUUUUUUCUUAUUUUUUAAAAUUUUUUUCCUUGUAUCACUGUCUGUAUUUUCAUAAUUAGAGCUGGUGGCGAUGAGUUUCUUCAGACAGACCAUGAAACGAAAUCUUGUAUAGGAAGAAGAACAUGUUACAAGUUUUUAUCAUGUUAAAAAGCUAAUAUUUUCAUUCGAGACCAUGCGAACCACGAUUUGGUGGCUUUUCAAAAUACAAUCUCACCAAGAAAUUGAAAAAAUUAUAUAAAUUAUCUUAACGUAAAAAAAAUUAAAAAAGUUACCUGCUUACUUAAUACCUUGUUGGAAAUGGGGAUGCUGUGCGGCGCCAUGUCCACGUGGACCUGUCUGGCUCCCUAUACCUAGGAAGUCCAAUUAAAUUAACAACUAAAUCCUAAGGUUUGUAUAUAAAUAGCUAGCAAAAUUCAACAAAAUUUCUUAUCCUUCCACGUUCUAAACCAUCAUGUCUCCUGAUCUCUCUGUUAGACUCCCUCGUGUUCUCAUCGUCUCUAGACGCAGCCUCCGCAAAAACAAAUUUGUAGAUUUUGUUGGUACGUUUUCGUUGUUUGAUCAUUCUUGAUCUGUUCAUAUGAUGACUAGCAUUGCUAAUAUUUUGUUUUCCAGGUGAAUAUCAUCUUGAUCUUCUAGUUGGCUACGGUGCAGUACCGGUUAUCGUUCCCCGUGUUAGUGGGUUGCACAUGUUGUUAGAUAGUUUUGAGCCUAUCCAUGGUGUUCUUCUUUGUGAAGGAGAAGAUGUUGAUCCAUCCUUAUAUGAAGCUGAGACAUCUAAUCUUUCACGAGAAGAAUUAGAAGAAAUCAGGAGGAUUCAUGCAAGUGAUACAGCUAUUGAUAGAGAGAAGGAUUCGAUUGAGUUGAGGCUUGCAAAACUCUGCCUUGAAAGAAACAUACCUUAUCUGGGGAUUUGCAGAGGAUCUCAAGUUCUGAAUGUUGCUUCUGGGGGUACCCUUUAUCAGGACAUUGAAAAGGCGGUUUCAAAGAAGAUUCAGGUGUCUCAAAGAGUGUUGCACAUGGAUUAUGAUAAUUAUGAUGGGCAUAGACAUGUGGUUAAGGUGGUAGAGAACACCCCUUUGCAUGACUGGUUUAGGGAUUCUCUGGAAGAAGAUAAAAUGGAGAUUUUGGUUAAUAGUUAUCACCACCAGGGGGUGAAUAGUUAGCACAAAGAUUUGUGCCAUGGCGUUCGCACCAGAUGGAUUGAUUGAGGGGUUUUAUGAUCCUGAUGCUUUAAUCCUGAAGAGGGUAAGUUCAUAAUGGGACUUCAAUUCCAUCCAGAGCGAAUGAGGCAGGAUGACACCGACAAGUUUGAUUAUCCAGGAUGCCCAAGGGCCUAUCAGGUUUUAUACCCCUCCUUUACAUACGAUCUUUUAUGGGAAAAUUUGAUGAAAUAAUGUAUAAUUGAUAUGUUCAUGGUAUUGUGCAGGAAUUUGUCAAGGCUGUGAUUGCUUAUCAGAAGAAGCUCAACAGUAGUACUGCAUCUGUGCCAAGGCCUCUCAAGCUAGAUCAAGCAAUGGAGAAGAAAAGGAAGAAAUAUAGUUAGAAGUUUCUUCUUGCAAGAAACAUAUACACUGCUGGCCAAAGAAUGAAUCCAUCAAAGGAAUCAGAACUACAAGCUGGAGCAGAAUUCCUAGAGGUAUAACUUUAGAUAGAUGAUAAAGAGUCCAUAUUCACUAUUCACAAAAUGCUUGAACAUUGUCUCAGGUUCAUAGAUUUUGUUUUCAGGCCUUUGAUCUUGUGUCGUUAAUGAUCAUUUUAUCCAUGCAGCCAGCACAGCUCUGAGCUUACAACAAGAGAACAGAUUGAAGCAGAUGGGUGCAACAGUGAGGAAUGCAGGUUCCUACAUUGAAAGACUGAGGAUGAAUGAGGAGAGGGAAGAUUUGGCAAAAAAUGUGACGGGAAAAAUGUCUGUAGAGCAGUUGUCUGACUUGUUGUCUUUCUACCAUAUGAUGGGACAGAUUUGCUCAGAAGUUUUAGAUAGAAAGCUGAAUGGCAUUGUCCAUGGCAUCGGUUCUUGAUAGAUGGUUUUUCUUGCUUUCUCGUUGAUGUAUCAUGUUAACACAAUAAUAAUCUGAAGUCACGGGAAACUUGGGUAAGCAGUUCCUGUUUUUCCCGUAUUUGACUUUCGUUGUUUCUUUCACAUGUGAUUCUAAACCAUAGCCACUGCUUUCCUGUGAAAAUAGAACUGGAAGAGGAAGGGAGUAAUUAAAAGAAAUUUGCUGCUCACAAAUCUUGACAACAUGCUCUUAGGCGUAUGGAGACUCUCCAACGCAAAUUUCUCCAACAACAAGCCCUUUAUCUUCUUAUACUAAAACCUUUCAAUUCACUUCACUAGUGAGUCGUUCAGUGUUUAUCUGACUUUUCAGCCUCAGAAAAGGUAGCCUGUUCAUCAAAAAAUGCAUGUCAUCUUCGGCGAUAAUCAUGCUGAAGCAAAAAGGAAAGGAAAAAAAUGAAGGUAGCAGACAUGCAUUAAUUACUUAACUAAAUAAGUAUUAUUAUAAUAUUAACUUGAAACAAAAUUCAGACAUGAAUUAGCACUAUAAUUUUUCUGUAUUAAUGGAGUACGGUAGAAAGUAAUUCUCAAAGUAUUUUUUGUUUAAAAUUAUAUUAAAAUGAUAUAUUUUAUUUUUAAAAAAUUUAUUUUUAGCAUUGAGAUCUGAAAUUAUUAAAAAAAUUAAAUUUAAUAAAAAAAAAAACAAGUUAAACCUUCCUGAACUUUGGGUUGAAGAAAUGCACAAGAAGCCUCCAGACUGGAAGAAAUAAGCAGCCCUGCACUACAAGAAAGGCCCGGAAAUAGUUGGAGCACAAACCAUCCAUCAAAAUAAAAUACAAGAAUUGAACUACAGCCCAGCAAUAACAAGUAGUAAAUCCCAGAAAAUAGUUAUGAUCCAAUAUCAUCAAUUCACAAAAUUGCAGGAUUGGAUUCUAUAAAAGCCCAAAAUCCACAUCCGAUUAUCUACUUGACUGGAAUUUCGUGUUAGAAAGCACCAAGUUACUUGAACCACGGGCAAUCUUCUUCUUCCAGUGUGAUUUAUAGCCAAAGAUAUCAGCUUUGACCUGGCUAAAACAGAGACAAAAAAGAAUCCAUGGACAACGACAGCUAAAUUACUAUAUUUAAUGACUUUAACAGGUAAUGCAAUUGUGAAGCAUUCUAGUCAACAAGUCGUUUUGCAUGCCGUGUGCGUCAUUAUGUUGAUGGACUUUCCCGGCAGAUGACUGAAGAAACGCGUUUUUCUCAUCUCCAUCAUUUGAUUUGAAGUUCAGAUCUUGACGCUGGGCUCCCACCAUGGAAAUAUUGCACCGCUCCUUUCCCUACGAAAUCCUUGUGAAGUGUUUGACGGGGAGUAGACAAUCUGUAAGCAUCCUGAAAUUGUAAGAACGCGGGUUCAAACUUAAUCCUAGUAAGAUUUAUAACUAUAAUUCAACCAACUAAGACAUUGAUUCGGUUAAGCAAUGUCUAGGUUGAUUUUUUUUUUUUUAAAUAAUCAAUUAAAAAACUAUUCGAGUUAACUUGGGUUAACCCGCUAAAUUCAUGAUUCGAGUUAUGAGAUGAGGAUAAUUUUAUAAAAAAAACAAGUUAAAAUAAAUCAUAAAGCUUAAUUAUCAAAUAAUUUAAUGUUGAAGGAUGAAAUAUAUAUAUAUAAAAUUAAUUAAAAAAAAAAACUUGAAUCAAGUUAACCCAUCAGACUUACAUGCAUAUAUCAUGAGAAUAUGAUAACUUAGAAAAAUAAAUUAAAAAAAUUAUGAAACUUAAUUCUCAAUAAACCUAAUAUUAAAGAAUAAAAUUUAAAUUAAAAAAAAAAACAAAUCAAAUUAAUCCAUCAAACCUCUAACCUGAAAAAAUAAAUCAUGAAAUAUAACUUUUUAAAUCAUUCAAAUAUUAAGAGGUAGAAUAGAAAUUAAUUAGAAAAGCAAAAAAUAAAUGAAAAAUACUAUUCAAAUAAAUAAUAUUUUAUAAAAAAAUAUAAUAAAAUUCCUUUUUCUAUUAGUGAAGUCAAGUGAGUCCUCGUCUCUAUCACUGAAACCCAAUGUCACGCAAUCGGUUUCAACUUUCAACCUUCCAUUUAAUUUAAUUUAAUUUAAUUUCUCCGUCACUAUCCCAGUCCAUACUCAAAGUGCGUUUUUUAUUUGUCAUAGCACUCCAAUUUGAUGUCCCAUUCCUGGAAGCUGUAGCAUGUGCGCUAUCACAGUCCAAUUUUUCUAAUAUACAACAUUUUACUGACAUGACCAUGCCUUUAAAACAAAUAAUUCAAUUUUACCGAUUUUUUUUUUACUCCGAAAGGUUUUCUCAAACUAAUCUACAAUUUUCUCAGUAAUUGUUAAUUAUAAAUACAAGUUUGACAGUUGGAGAAGGGCUUGUAAUAGUUAUUAACUAGUUUUUUUUGGAUCAAAUAAAAACAAUUCACUUAAUUUUUUUAAUCCAUCGUUAAAUUUGAUUUAAUAAGACCCGAUUUGAUGUUAUUAUCAUCAACCACAUAUAUACUUUUCCAAACUAUGCGAGGAUUUUUUUUGCGUGUCCUUCAAUAUAUUUGACCGAUUCUGUUCUCUUCUUUUAGUCCCCAAGACAGUGAUGCAUCAUAGCAUACGAAGACUUCAUUUUGCAAAUAGAGGCCUCGUAGAAAGAAAUUAAUGUGGUAGCCCUUUCCCAAGAAACAAAUAAAUUAAAAACUUUGAGUCCACCAAGCAUUUAAAUCCAAGUAUUGCGUUCACAUCUAUCCCUUUGUGAUGUAUUUAUUUACCUGAAAUUGAUAAUUAGCACGUCAAGACUCAUCUCUUUAUCCUUGAAACAACCAAGCCCAUUUUGCUAACACACAAUUCCAUUUCUCCUAUGCUACUUCCUCUUGCCAGAAUGAAUUCCUCGGCCUUUUCUUUUCUUUCAGAUUUUGUUCUUGUAUUGUUGCUCUUCAUUCAAGUCCCUUCAUCCUCGAGCAACGAUGACCUGCUCAGUACUGCCUGUAGUAAAAAGUUUGUGUGUGGGAAUAUUUCCAUGGAUUUUCCGUUUUGGGGAACUGACAGGUCAUCUGCCUGUGGCGUUCCAGAUUUUAAGCUCAGGUGUGAGAAUAAUACUGCCAAGAUGAGUAUCAGUCAGGUUGCAUAUCGGGUUUUGGAAAUCAAUCAGGAUAAUGGAAUUCUCAGGAUUGCAAGAGAGGACUACUUUGUUGGAUUGUGUCCACCUCAAUUUAGGAACAGCACGUUCAAUCCUAAGGUUUUCGAGUAUGUUGAGGGUUACAAAAAUAUGACAUUCAUUUAUGGUUGCAAGGAUGCUCCUGAUCCAACCAUACCUGGUACAAUACCUAGUAUACAUUUCACUUGCAAAAUAAAUGAGGUUAAUGAUCAAGGUGGUUAUAUCCAAGUAGGAGAUAAUGGUCCAGGGGAAUGCUAUCAUAGUGUCUUUGUGCCAGUUUCUGUAACAGAUUGGCAACCAUUCGGGAAUAUGCAAGCUUUUGAUUGGUCACAAUUCGGGAAUAUGCAAGCUUUUGAUUGGUCACAAUUCGGGAAUAUGCGAGCUUGGGAAGAACUCUUGAAAAAAGGAUUCGAGGUAAGAUGGAAGGUCGAUGGGGAGGCGUGUUGGGAAUGCUCAACCUCUUCAGGUAUGUACCUCAACUUCUCCUCGAAUCAGUUUAUGGUGAACUCCAGUCACUUGUUGAUGCUGCACACACCUUAAUUAGUUCCGUUCCUGUUUUGUUAUUUUAGUUUUAUUUUAAAUAGACUUGGACAGAAGUAAACAUCAAUAUGAUGAUGAUAUUGAUCUCUUAGAACCACUUGAAUAGUCGACUAUUAGGGUGGCUCGAACUGCAGAACCAGAACCACAGCUUUCUGGUUAGGAAACGGUCACACCAUAGCUAAAUUGAUGCCCAUGGUGUCUUAUCAUACAACCAGUCGUAGGAAAUCUUGAUGGCAUGUUCUGCAGAAUUUUUUAACUGACAGAAAAUUAUAUGUGAUUUUUGUCUACUAAUUGAUCAUAGCUAAGAAUUUAACUUGUCUGCUUUAAGAAUUGCCUAAAUUAUUUAUUCAGUCCUCGUUUUAUUAUAAAAAUAAUUAGUUAGUCCAUCUGAUUAAAAAAAGACAAUAUUAUAUCCCCAUGUUUUCAUUUCCAUGAUAUUUUAAUCUGUUCCCUAAGUGUUUGUUAAUUAAGUGCUGAGAUGUCACCAAUUUAACUCUUUUUUGUCCUCAAAUAUCCCCUUUUGAAUUAAAAUAAAUUUAUAAAACUCAAUUUAAAAUCAAACUCCUCAAAAUUUAGUUCAUGGAUUAAAUGAGUUGACUCAUAUCAAUUUAAUUUUUUAAAAAAAAAAAACCUUGAAGUGAAGUUGUUUUGAGCUUUAAAAUAAUAAUAAUAAUAAUAAUAUUGUUUUAAAAAAAUCUCUAAGUUAAGCCUCAAGUUAGCAAUUUAUAAAAUUGACCUAGGCCGAGCAAAAAUUAUAACUACGAAUUUUUCCAUUUUUAACAUGCAUGUGAUUGUUGCCUCGUGGAGCUGUUCAUAUUCCUUGACGGCUGGACCGGCAAGGUACCAGACAAAAACAUACAAUAACAGAGGAUUUGUAAAAUAAAUGUCCGAGACUCUCCUGGCAUAUUUUUACCUUAGCUUGCAUGGAUAUUCAGAGUCUAAUCAACAUAAUAGAAAUUACAGGGAGCCUUUGGUAAUUAAAAUAUGGGGAAAAAUAAGGAAGGAUAACACCAGGAAAUUCACAAGGUGAUGCAGAAAUGGAGUCCACAUCAGAGACUUGGUCUUUCUGCAGAUGUCAUUUUCUUCUUUGUUCUUUUUCCUGGAAUAAUCUAUCAGAUGAAACUUCAAAUUCCCACCUCCUGUUUUCGUCUGAUUUGACUUUAGGUGGCAUCUAUGAAAUUAAUUUUAAAUAAUUCACACGUUUAUUCUAGGAAUAGACAUCUCUUUGAGAUACAUGUAAAUCUUCUGGUGGUCAGUGUGGUUACAACAAGACCACUACAGCAUUCACUUGUUACUGUGCGGAUCAACCUCGAGAUUUUGAAUGCUCAUCAUCACCACAGGCACCUAGUCAAUCAACAAGUAUGUCCUCUUUUCUUUCUUGACGCCAUGAUUGGAUAGAUAGAGAUAGCUGAAAUCUAAGAUAUGCCCUCCAGGCUAGGUGAUGUAGGAGGACCUCUGGUAAAAGAAACAAGUGUGAAUCGUUCCUUUGAGCAGAGGGAGGAACCUAGCUAGCUAUUAGGAAUUGUUCAAAGCUCCAUGAUCCUGAAGAGAACACCUUCCUUGACCAUUUAAUUGACAGAUUGUAUAACAUGAAAAUACAGGUAUCACAAGGAGCAAUCCUUAAAGUAUUCCCAACCUAGUAUGUGUCGAGAUAUAUUAUUUCUUUAGCAGUAGCAGGAGCAAGAGACUGUCUAAUGAAAUUACUCUCAGUUAAUUUAGAAUUGCUAAAUACUCUUCAUCCCCACCAGUUCAGGUUCCUCGUUUAGUGACAUGAAAUUUUUCCAGGUUUCUUGUUUGGUGAAAUGCAACUAGCCAUCCUACUCUUCUAAGUAGUCAAGGAACAAAAUUAUGUUUCAGAUAUUGUAACUUCUACUGCAUAUUUGAGUAAGGUCAGGUUUUACCCUGUCAUAUUUUGGUCUUCGAUAAUUUCCAAGCAAAUGCUUCAAUAAUUUCAAGAAUCGAUGUUUGAACUACUUUCAGAGGCUUACAAGUCCACUGGUUUUUGUUUAGUGUUAAUGAGUAAUUAAUUGUAGCAAUUCGAGUUUAUUGGUUAAGAGGUUCAAUGUUCGAAAUUAGGCUUUUUUCUUCAGUCUUGUGUUGACUGUGACCCUAAGAAAGUUGGAGCUCUAUGUGGUGAUAGUUUGAAUACACAAUAUGAUUCACAUCUUGUUCAUGAGAUGUUAAUUAAAUCUAAGUUAAUCUCUGGGAGUUUGUUUGUUCGUUUUUUUUUUUUUUUUGCAGCCAUUGAUACUUAUUUCUUUAGUAGUUGUGUUUAGUGAUAGGGAAAUUGAACAAUUCAAUUACUCAUAGUUUGAUUCCCCUGUUUUCUCUGUUUUUUGCAAUGCCUCUCUGCGAUUUAUUUUCGCAACGGAGAACCUGCUUCCCUUAAUGUUCCAGUUUCUUUAGGACAGUAGCUUGUAUGUCUAUAAUCUGAAUGAAGACAUGAAUUAUUUUGUGUUCAACAAAUAAUAAUUAAGAUAGCCACUAUCAUAUUUCAAGUUCAGUCCAAUUGACCAUGCUUACCAAGUGCCUACUGCCUACUGAAAACUUGCUUCAAUGUGGUCAUUAAUGUUUCUGGCUUUCAUGAUUUUUUUGCAGGGUCAAAACGUGCACUGAAAAUAGGUAUAAUUCUGCUACACAGACUUUAUAAAAUCAACACCAAAAAUACAUGCAGAGCAUUUUGGUUUAUUUAUUUAUUUUCAUUUCCAGGGCUUGGCUCAGCAGUUGCUGUUGUUGGUGCCUUUUUGGGAUGCGGGAUCAUGGCCUUUAUACAACGGAAGAGAAGAAAAGCUGCCCUAGAGAGAACCGUAGAACUUCCUAUAGCAACUCCUUCAAGCAAAGGCCUUGCCACCUCAACUAAUCUCUCUCAAACCACCCCUUCUCUUACCUCCUUAAAGUCUGACAUUGAUAAGGGUAGUACCUACUUUGGAGUUCGGGUUUUCAGCUAUGAUGAACUUGAGGAAGCAACCAACUUUUUUGAUUCUUCAAGAGAACUUGGAGAUGGAGGGUUUGGCAUUGUUUAUUAUGGUUAGAAGAUGAAAUGAUUUCAUUUUGCAGUAUAGGAACUUGCAUCCAUUAACUGCUUUGUUGACUCUUUAUAAAUUUCUAUUGCUAUUGCUUGUUUUAUCAGGUGUACUCAGGGAUGCGCAUGAGGUUGCCGUCAAGCGCCUAUAUGAGAACAACAUGAAACGUACUGAGCAGUUUAUGAAUGAAAUUGAGAUCCUAGCCCAUUUACAACACCGGAAUCUGGUGAAACUUCACGGAUGUACCUCGAGGCACAGCCGGGAGCUUCUACUCGUUUAUGAAUACAUUCCUAAUGGAACUGUUGCUGAUCAUCUUCAUGGAAGACAGUCAAACUCUCGCUUGCUCACUUUGCCUGUUCGGCUAAGCAUUGCCAUAGAGACAGCCAGUGCGCUGGUGCACCUCCAUGCUUCAGAUGUCAUACAUCGAGAUGUAAAAACCAAUAACAUUCUCCUAGACAAUGACUUCUGUGUCAAAGUGGCUGAUUUUGGUUUGUCCCGAUUGUUCCCAACUAAUGUCACUCAUUUAACGACUGCUCCACAAGGAACACCUGGAUAUGUUGAUCCGGAGUAUUAUCAAUGCUACCAGCUCACGGACAAGAGUGAUGUUUACAGCUUUGGCGUCGUCUUGAUUGAGCUGAUAUCAGCUUUACAAGCAGUGGACACCAAUAGGCGUCGGCACGAUAUUAAUCUGUCCAACAUGGCAGUCAACAAAAUCCAAAAUCAUGCUUUGAAUGAGUUGGUUGAUCCAUUUCUUGGAUUUGAUAAGGAUUUCGUAGUGAGGAGGAUGGUAACAUCAGUUGCAGAGUUAGCUUUCCGGUGUUUGCAACAACAGAGGGAAAUGAGGCCAACUAUGGAAGAAGUGUUGGAGAUAUUGAAAAGAAUUGAGAAUGAAAAUUAUGGAGCAGAAAAGGCAGAUGUAUUGGAUAUUAGUGAGGAUGAUGUUGGGCUAUUGAAGCAUGCUUCUUCUCCACUUCAACUUUCAGCAGACUCAAUGAGUGAUCAAUUCUUGGGAAGCAGUUCUUCCACUAACACACCCCAUUCCUGCUAGCUGUAGAGAUUUCCUUAUCCUUUUAGCUUAAAAUCCGUGAGUAGUAAAUUCAAAGUGUUAUACAAUAAAUGCGUUUGUGAUUCAGUUUUUUUUUUCUUUGUUGGUGUUGUUUUGAUGAAACAAUUUAUGGUUGCCAUGUUUGUGGACUAACAUAAAGCUAAUAUGCAGGAAUUCGCGGUGGCUGAUAUAUACCUAUCAGAAGAAGCUUCAUAGUACAUCUGUACCGAAUCCUCUAAAGCUAGAUCAAGCAAAACUAGAGAAGAACAGGAAAGUUGUUAAUUAGACGUUUCUCACUUUCGAAAGAUAUAUACACUACUGGCAAAGGAAUGAAUCCAUCAAAAGAAUCAGAACUACAAGUUGGGGAGGAAUUUCUUCAGAUUGAUUACCGUUCCAACUUCCAUACAUCACAUUUCACAGGGUGUUAAAAGUUCUGUUUUUUUUCUGGUUUCUGAUCUUAUGUCGUUAAUUAUCAUGUUAUUUAAACAGUCAGACACAGCUUUGAGCCUGCAACAAGAGAAUAGGUUGAAGCAGGUGGGUGUAACAAUGAGGAAUGCAGGCUCUUACAUGGGAAAACUGAAGAUGAACGAGGGGAGGGAAAUUUUGACAAGAUGGGAAACACUUCUGUACAAAAGGUGUCCGAUCUGUCGUCUUUCUACAACAUGAUAGGCUAGACGUUGGUUGUUGAUUGAUAGUUUUCUUCUGUUUUGAGUGUUUAUAUGUAUAUAUAGAAAAUUUGAUGAAGAAAUUUGUGUCUCUCGUCUAAGUUCUACCAUUCAAUUAUUAUGAUUGAAAAAAACAUAAAGCAGAGAGGGUAUUAGUUUUCUAAUAUAUUUCAAAAUGUUAUUUAAAGUUUUUUUCUUAAGUAUAAAAAUAAUAUAUUUUUUUAUUUUUUUAAAUUUAUUUUUUACAUUAACAUAUUAAAAUAAUUUUAAAAAUUUUAAAAAUAAUAAAUUUAACAACAAAAAAUUCAAUCAAGAUUUUUAUAUUCAACUUAAUUGUUCAUAAUAGUUAUAUUUGGUUAAGAUGAUCCUUUUUGGUUUUUAAUUAAAAAAAAUAACUAAGCUAAAUUUGUUUUUUUAAAAUUAAAAGAAAUUAGUUCUGGUUAAUUUUGGUUCGGUUAAUUAAAGUAAAAAACCAGGAAAACCGACCAUAUAUGUGUUGAUUUGACAUAAACUACUGAGUAAUGAAACCAGAGCAAAGAAUGGAAACAUAUCUUUCAUCAAAGAUAUCCAACAAUUCUUUUACACUUCUCUCCAACAAUACAGAUUUACUAAUUGCAUUCAAACAAUAAAAAGGAAAACUUAAGUACAAGAUGCCUCACCAGAUUUGAGGAGAUUAGAUAUAAAAAAUCCCUUCUGCUUUAUAGUUAUGUUUGCUUGUCUGUGUUUUUCUUCUAGAUCUACUAAUGAUUUUUUAGUUUCCUCGAGCUUUUUUUGAAUUUUCAAGGAAGAGAAUAAUAAGCUCAGAUCUUGCUGGUGGAAGCAGAAAAGCAGAAUGAAGAAGGUUUCCUUGUUGACGACCUAAAGUUAACUACCUCAGUUUUAUCAAGUUUCUCACUUAAAUCCGCUGUCAAGUGUAGCUGAGAAUUGUAGAGUUCUUGGAGAAGACGAGAAGUUAGAAACCAGAAAAGGGGAGACGCUGAGAUUGAGAGAAAAAUUGGGGGAGGAACCGGUUGGGUUUUGAUUUGGUCUCGAGGGUUGGAAGAAAAAUUCUUUUAACUUGUUUCGUCAUCAUACCAUAUAAACUUAAUCAGCCAAAAGGAUAUCAAAAUAAGGUUACAGUAGUUACAAACUCGUAUUUACAAUAAAUUAUAUUUAAUUUUUAUAUUUUAUAUUUUAUAUUUUUAUAAUGUGAAAGUAGUGAUGUGUAUAUGGCUUUUUAUUUAUUUAUAGAUUUUCAUUUAAUAAAUUCACACGUGGAGCAACAAUUAGGAUCUUAAAAACUAAAUAAUCUAAAGAUAUAUCAUGAAAUUUGAUUAUUAAAUAUUUAACGUGGCGGUUUACAAUUCAUGAAACUAAACGCAAUAAAAAAACUUUUAAAAAAAAUCAAACAACUAAAUAUUUAAAUAAUAACAAUUAUAUAUAGAGAGUAUAGACAUACACACAUAUAAAGGCUUGUAGGCUGUAGCUAACUAGCUACCAUGAAAACAGGAAUAGACAUCUCUUCUUCCUUUUUAGCGCGUGACCCAGCGACGAUUAAAGUAAGAAAUGAUUUGGUGUAUAAGGGUCUACCAAUAGUGCUAUGAAAUCGCUUGUGUCAAGUGGCCACAUCACCUUCAAUUUAAGCCAAACUCAAAAGUCAGCUCUUAAAAUUCUUGACGAACCUGUUUUCGGUAUUUUGUGAGUUGCGUAAACACGAUUUUCUAGCUAGCUCAUAAGCUCAUCAUCAUUAUUCUAAUAUUAUAUAUUAAAAAAUCAUUUCCAUCUCAAAGUAAAAUUUUAAAUUAUAAUUUAUAUGGUUGUUUAACAAUAAAAAACUUAGAACAGGUUAUUUAUUCUAUCAAAAGUUCAAUAUCAUUAAUACUUGUUAGGACAAAUUUUUUUAAAAAAAAAAAGAUGUUUGGAAAUAUAAUAAAUAUUGUAUUUUAAAGUGUUUUUUUUUCUUUAAAAAUAUUUUUAAAAAAUAAAAAAUUAAUUUUAAAUAAAAAUAAAUAAAUUUUAACCAAUUUUUUAUACCGCAGUCCCAAAUGAACCUUUUAGUCACCCAGAAAUUAGGUUGCAAGAAAAUAUAUAUUUUUACCUACUAAUCAAAAGUAUCUUUUUAAUAUUCAGAUACCAAUAUUUAAGACAUACAUUUAAGACAUGAAACUUGAAAAUUUUAACAAGAACACAGAAUUUGACUAUCAGGAUUCAAAAUACGCAUUAUCUUGCUGACAAAAUGACCUGCCUACUUGUUUGGCCGCCUGAAUUUACGUUGAUGCCACUCUCACCAUUCUAAUGGAAGCUUCUCUUUGACAAAAUCCCAUUGGUCAAAUAAGUACUACAAAUUCUAUUGUAUUGAUGGAGUAAAUAACUACCACCUUUGAGUUUUUUCCUCUUAACUCAAUACUUGAACAACGUUUCCUGUCAAUCCCUCUGCAAAAACACGACCGCUACUCCUUCAGGCCAUGUCUUGGCUUAUCCUACUCCUAACCAUAGCCUUGGUCUGUGGUUCAGCACCUGUGUUUGCUGAUGAUGAUGAGCGAUAUUUGAGCUGCAUGAACUCAUUUGAUUGCGGAAAUAUUAAGGGUGUUGGUUAUCCUUUCUCGGGAUCCGCUAGGCCUGAUUACUGUGGCUAUCCCGGGUUUGAGCUCGGUUGCAGCAACCAGGAUCCGGAGAUCACAAUCAUGCGAUCGACUUACAAACUCCUUGGCGUCAAUAACCAGUUGCGGACUCUCAAUGUUUCUAGAUCAGAUUACACAGAAAAUCUAUGUCCUACUCUCCUUUCCAACACCUCUUUGAAUCCAAACCUCUUGAAUUACACUUUAGAUUAUGCUGAGGCAACACUGUACUAUGGUUGCCCUAGUCCAAGCCCACCAGCGUUAUCAUCUCAGUUUACUUGCAACAUUAACGACACUGUUAUGGUGGGAAACUUUAUAACAGUCAACUUCUCUGUCCUUAGUAUUACUGAUACCAGCUUAAUCAGCUACCUGACAACAUGCAACAAUAGUGUUAAAUUUCCUGCCCAUCUAUCAGCUAUUAGGCCAAUUCUACCCAGUCCAACUGUAGCACAGUUUCUUGAAGCUAUUAACCAAGGUUUUGAGUUGGUUUGGAGUGCAAAUGAUUCAUUAUGUGAUACAUGUAAAUCUUCUGGUGGUCUGUGUGGGUACAACAGGACCACUACAGCAUUCACUUGUUACUGUGCGGAUCAACCUCAAGAUUUUGAAUGCUCAGCAUCACCACAGGCACCUAGUCAAUCAACAAGUAUGUCCUCUUUUCUUUCUUGAUAUUGCCAUGAUUGGAUAGAUAGAGAUAGCUGAAAUCUAAGAUAUGCCGUCCAGGCUAGGUGAUGUAGAGUGUGUUUGGCAUUGCGGUAGCUGUUGUGGUUGUGGUUUCAAAAAAGUUGUUUUAUAAAAAGUACUUUUAAUUGAGGUUGGUUUAAAAAAAUAGGUGUUUUGUUAAAACUGUAGUUGAAAUUGAGGUUGAAUAAAAAGUAAUUUAAUGUGUUUGGUUAAGAAUGCUUUUGAAAUUAAAGUUAUAAAAUAAUUUUAAAAUAUAUAUUUAUUAAUAUUGAUGGUUUUUAAUUUAAAUGUUGUAGAUUUAACUAUUGUUAUUAUUUCAUGAAAUAAAUAAUACUUUAUAUGAAAUAUUUUUUUAUUAUUCCUUAACCAUCUACAGUUCCAUUACGUACAAAACUCAUUCGACAAGAACUAUAUUUCUAUAAUUUUUUGAGCGUGCAAUAAAAUUAGAUAAAAUAUUUCAGGAUAAAAUUGAUUGAUAUUACAGUGCGAAUGAAUUUAAUUCACUUUAAACUAGUUUUUUAGGAAACAAAAUAUUAUUUACAUGACAAUAUAAGUAAAUUUAAUUCAUUCUAAAUUAUUUUUUUUAAUGUAAAAAAAAAAACAAAAAAAAAAAAACAGGAACAGUGCAAGUGAAUUGCACUGUUCCCGUGAACAGUGCGCGUGAUUGCACUGUUUGUGUGCACAGUGCAAGUGAAUUGCACUGUGCACAUGAGGCGUUAACUUUGAAAAGCAGCUCAGAGCUGCUGUGCAAAAAUCACGUUCAAAACGUGAAUUGUCGUGGGACCCACUAACAUUAAAGUGUGUUUCUGAUGUAACCAAACAUAUUGUUUGCUGUGGUUGCUUCAAACGCAGAAGCAACCACACAAACAAACGGACUCGUAGGAGGACCUCUGGUAAAAGAAACAGGUGUGAAUCGUUCCUUUGAGUAGAGGGAAGAACCUAGCUAGCUAUUAGGAAUUGUUCAAAGCUCCAUGAUCCUGAAGAGAACACCUUCCUCGGCCAUUUAAUUCCAGUAUAUCAAGCAAACAAAGACUUCGAUUAACUGACAAAGACUUUAUAACAUGAAAAUAUAGGUAGCCCUUUAUCACAAGGAGCAAUCAUUAUAGUAUUCCCAACCUAGUGUGUGUCGAGAUAUAUUAUUUCUUUAGCAGUAGCAGGAGACGAGACUGUCUAAUGAAAUUACUCUCCGUUAAUCUAGAAUUGCUAAAUACUCUUCAUUCCCACCAGUCCAGGCUCCUCGUUUAGUGAACUGAAAUUUGUCUAGGUUCCUGCUUCAACUAGUCCCGGUUUCUUGUUUAGUGAAAUGAAACUAGCCAUCCUACUCUUCUAAGUAAUCAAGGAACAAAAUUAUGUUUCAGAUAUUUUGUAACUUCUGCUGCAUAUUUGAGUCAGGUCAGGUUUUACCCUGUCAUAUUUUCGUCUUUGUUGAUUUAUGGGUAUGAUAGUUUUCAAGCAAAUGCUUCAAUAAUUUCAAUAAUCGAUGUUUGAAUUACUUUCAGAGUCCAUUAGUUUUUGUGUAGUCUUAAUGAAUAAUUAAUUGUAGCAAUUCGAGGUUAUCUGUUAAGAGGUUCAAUGUUCGAAAUUAGGCUUCUUUCUUCAGUCUUGUGUUGACUAUGACCCUAAGAAAGUUGGAGCUCUAUGUGGUGAUAGUUUGAAUACACAAUACGAUCCACAUCUUGUUCAUGAGAUGUUAAUUAACUCUAAGUUAAUCGCUGGGAGUUUUUUUUUUUUUUUUGCAGCCAUUGAUACUUAUUUCUUUAGUAGUUGUGUUGAGUGAUAGGGAAAAUUGAACAAUUCAAUUACUCAUAGUUUGAUUCCCCUGUUUUCUCUGUUUUUUGCAAUGCCUCUCUGCGAUUUUCGCAACGGAGAACCUGCUUCCCUUAAUGUUCCAGUUUCUUUAGGAUAGUUUCUUUAGGACAGUAGCUUGUAUGUAUAUAAUCUGAAUCAAGACAUGAACUAUUUUGUGUUCAACAAAUAAUAAUUGAGAUAGCCACUAUCAUAUUUUAAGUUCAUUCCAAUUGAUCAUGCUUACUAAGUGCCUACUGCCUACUGAAAACUUGCUUCAAUGUGGUCAUUGAUGUUUCUUGCUUUCAUGAUUUUUUGCAGAGAAGAAGUCUGGAAACAGUCCACUCGAAAUUGGUAUAAUUCUGCUACACACACUUUAUAAAAUCAACACCAAAAAUACAUGCUGAGCAUUUUGGUUUAUUUAUUUAUUUUCAUCUCCAGGACUUAGCUCAGCAGGUGCUUUUUUGGUGCCUUUGUGGGAUGCUGGAUCAUGGCCUUUAUACAACGGAGGAGAAGAAAAGCCGCCCUAGAGAAAACCAAAGAACUUCCUAUAGCAACUCCUUCUAGCAAAGGCCCUGCUACCUCAACUAAUCUCUCUCAAACCACCCCUUCUCUUACCUCCUUAAGGUCUGACAUUGAUAAGGGUAGUGCCUACUUUGGAGUUCGGGUUUUCAGCUAUGAUGAACUUGAGGAAGCAACCAACUUUUUUGAUUCUUCAAGAGAACUAGGAGAUGGAGGGUUUGGCACUGUUUAUUAUGGUUAGAAGAUGAAAUGAUUUCAUUUUGCAGUAUAGGAACUUGCAUCCAUUAACUGCUUUGUUGACUCUUUCUAAAUUUCUAGUUCUAUUGCUUGUUUUAUCAGGUGUACUCAGGGAUGGACAUGAGGUUGCCGUCAAGCGCCUAUAUGAGAACAACAUGAAACGUACUGAGCAGUUUAUGAAUGAAAUUGAGAUCCUAGCCCAUUUACAACACCGGAAUCUGGUGAAACUUCACGGAUGUACCUCCAGGCACAGCCGAGAGCUUCUACUCGUUUAUGAAUACAUUCCUAAUGGAACUGUUGCUGAUCAUCUUCAUGGAAGACAGUCAAACUCUCGCUUGCUCACUUUGCCUGUUCGGCUAAGCAUUGCCAUAGAGACAGCCAGUGCGCUGGUGCACCUCCAUGCUUCAGAUGUCAUACAUCGAGAUGUAAAAACCAAUAACAUUCUCCUAGACAAUGACUUCUGUGUCAAAGUGGCUGAUUUUGGUUUGUCCCGAUUGUUCCCAACUAAUGUCACUCAUUUAACGACUGCUCCACAAGGAACACCUGGAUAUGUUGAUCCGGAGUAUUAUCAAUGCUACCAACUCACGGACAAGAGUGAUGUUUACAGCUUUGGCGUCGUCUUGAUUGAGCUGAUAUCAGCUUUACAAGCAGUGGACACCAAUAGGCGUCGGCACGAUAUUAAUCUGUCCAACAUGGCAGUCAACAAAAUCCAAAAUCAUGCUUUGAAUGAGUUGGUUGAUCCAUUUCUUGGAUUUGAUAAGGAUUUCGUAGUGAGGAGGAUGGUAACAUCAGUUGCAGAUUAGCUUUCCGGUGUUUGCAACACAGAGGGAAAUGAGGCCAACUAUGGAAGAAGUGUUGGAGAUAUUGAAAAGAAUUGAGAAAGAAAAUUAUGGAGCAGAAAAGGCAGAUGUAUUGGAUAUUAGUGAGGAUGAUGUUGGGCUAUUGAAGCAUGCUUCUUCUCCACUUCAACUUUCAGCAGACUCAAUGAGUGAUCAAUUCUUGGGAAGCAGUUCUUCCACUAACACCCCCAUUCCUACUAGCUGUAGAGAUUUCCUUAUCCUUUUAGCUUAAAAUCCGUGAGUAGUAAAUUCAAAGUGUUAUACAAUAAAUGCGUUUGUGAUUCAGUUUUUUUUUUCUUUGUUGUGUUGUUUUGAUGAAACAAUUUAUGGUUGCCAUGUUUGUGGACUAACAUAAAGCUAAUAUGCAGGAAUUCGCGGUGGCUGAUAUAUACCUAUCACAAGAAGCUUAAUAGUACAUCUGUAGCGAAGCCUCUAAAGCUAGAUCAAGCAAAACUAGAGAAGAACAGGAAAGUUAUUAAUUAGACGUUUCUCACUUUCGAAAGAUAUAUACACUACUGGCAAAGGAAUGAAUCCAUCAAAAGAAUCAGAACUACAAGUUGGGGAGGAAUUUCUUCAGAUUGAUUACUGUUCCAACUUCCAUACAUCACAUUUCACAGGGUGUUAAAAGUUCUGUUUUUUUCAGGUUUCUGAUCUUAUGUCGUUAAUUAUCAUGUUAUUUAAACAGUCAGACACAGCUUUGAGCCUGCAACAAGAGAAUAGGUUGAAGCAGGUGGGUGUAACAAUGAGGAAUGCAGGCUCUUACAUGGGAAAACUGAAGAUGAACGAGGGGAGGGGAGUUUUGACAAGAUGGGAAACACUUCUGUAGAAAAAUUGUCAGAUCUGUCGUCUUUCUACAACAUGAUAGGCCAGACUUUGGUUGUUGAUUGAUAGUUUUCUUCUGUUUUGAGUGUUUAUAUGUAUAUAUAGAAAAUUUGAUGAAGAAAUUUGUGUCUCUCGUCUAAGUUCUACCAUUCAAUUAUUAUGAUUGAAAAAAACAUAAAGCAGAGAGGGUAUUAGUUUUCUAAUAUAUUUCAAAAUGUUAUUUAAAGUUUUUUUUUAAUGUAUAAAAAUAAUAUAUUUUUUAUUUUUUAAAAUUUAUUUUUUACAUUAACAUAUUAAAAUAAUUUUAAAAAUAAUAAAUUUAAAAACAAAAAAUUCAAUCAAGAUUUUUAUAUUCAACUUAGUUGUUCAUAAUAGUUAGAUUCAGUUAAGAUGAUCCUUUUUGGUUUUUAAUUAAAAAAAAUAACUAUGCUAAAUUUGUUUUUUAAAAUUAAAAGAAAUUAGUUCUGGUUAAUUUUGGUUCGGUUAAUUAAAGUAAAAAACCAGGAAAACCGACCAUAUAUGUGUUGAUUUGACAUAAACUACUGAGCAAUGAAACCAGAGCAAAGAAUGGAAACAUAUCUUUCAUCAAAGAUAUCCAAAAAUUCUUUUACACCACUUCUCUCCAACAAUACAGAUUUACUAAUUGCAUUCAAACAAUAAAAAGGAAAACUUAAGUACAAGAUGCCUCACCAGAUUUGAGGAGAUUAGAUAUAAAAAAUCCCUUCUGCUUUAUAGUUAUGUUUGCUUGUCUGUGUUUUUCUUCUAGAUCUACUAAUGAAUUUUUAGUUUCCACGAGCUUUUUUUGAAUUUUCAAGGAAGAGAAUAAUAAACUCAGAUCUUGCUGGUGGAAGCAGAAAAGCGGAAUGAAGAAGGUCUACGUAUUGACGACCUAAAGUUAACUACCUCAGUUUUAUCAAGUUUCUCACUUAAUUCCGCUGUCAAAUGUAGCUGAGAAUUGUAGAGUUCCUGGAGAAGACGAGAAGAUAGAAACCAGAAAAGGGGAGACGCUGAGAUUGAGAGAAAAAUUGGGGGAGGAACAACCGGGUUUGAUUUGGUCUCGAGGGUUGGAAGAAAAUUUUAUAUAUAUAUAUAUAUAUAUUUUUAUUUAUUUUUAUUUAUUUAUUUUUCUCUCUCUCUUCAGAGAUGACUGAAGUCACUGAACUGGUUUGAUUUGAUGUAGUUCAAUUAAUUUAGAUUAUUAAAACUACCACUUAAUCGAAUCAAAUAUUUUUUGGAUUUUUUAAUAAAUUAAUUGGAUUUUUUUUUCUGGUUUAGUUUUUUUAGUAUUUUUUUUAUUUUCUUGAUUUAAUUAAUUUUGUUUUUACCUUUAAAUUCAAUGGUGUCUGAUAUUAGUUAAAAUCUUAGAAUUCUUGAUCAGAAAAGAUUUGUAUACAUAAAACUUAUUUAAUAGUUAGAAGUUGUAAUUUUUUAUAAAUAAAUAUGAGGGAAAAUAAUUUAAAUUUUUUAAAAAAAUAUUGAAUUCAUUAACAAAAACUUGGGAGGUCAAAUACUUGCGUGAUUUAGUGUUUUUAAACAUAGUAGCCUUUUUUCCUUUUGAUGGUAGCAAACGCGGCGACGUUUUUGGCAGUAACCAGAUGCAACGAUAGCCUCUCGUAGUUGCAAGACCCUAAACGCAGCUAGAAAAGUCAAAACAAGUAGCUGCAAAAUACAACGUAGAAAAAUAUAGUAGCAACUCCAAAACACAACAAUUUUAACAUACUUUAAUGGCGGAAAAUAGAAUACAAAAUUAGAAAAUUUACAGCAGCAAUAGGGACCUUCCAAGGCAUAAACAACCUCCAAAACAAACUAGAAAUCAUCCUCUAAUAGCAUUAGAAAAAAGUCUCCUAUGAAUAAUUUUCAUUAUGAUCAUUAUAACAUGUUAGUGGAUAAUUUUCUAAGUUCUAGAAAGUAUUGGAGAAUUUUUUUCUCAAUGAAUAAUUGAACCAUCAACCAAACCAAUAACAUAUAUGUGAAAAGGAAAUGAUAAAAAUACAACAAUUGAAAGCUUCAAAACAUAGAAUUAUCUUUUUCAAUCAAUUGAUUAAUCAAUCUUGAAAAGUAUUCUUUGCAAGGACGCCUCUAAUAAUAUUUGCAAUUCGAUAAAAUAAAAGUAUUAAAAAACAACUAGAGCAAAGAUACAAUAACUUCAAGGACUUUAAACGAAAUCUAAACUGCUUAAAAAUAAAUAUGAAAGAGUCGGUCACAUAUUAUUUUUCACAAAUAAUGACAACCAUUAACAAUAUGUGGAUCCUUGAAGACAAAAUUGAGGAUAUCAUCAUCAUUGAGAAAACUCUUCAAUUAUUAAUGCCAAAAUUAAAAAAAAAUUGUUUAAAAUGAAUUUUUUAUAUAUAUAUUUUUAGAUCGUUUUGAUGUGCUGAUGUUAAAAAUAUUUUUUUAAAAAUAAUAAUUAAAAAAAAAUUAUUUUGAUGCAUUUCUAAAUGAAAAACACUUUAAACCACCACCACAGUUACAAUUUCAAACACAUAAAAAGAAGCAAGUUUUAUGAGUUUUCAUCUAAUAAUCAUUGCUUUUUACCUCAUGAAGAGGUGGUUGAGGAAGAGGAUGGAGCAUAAGCAAUAAUCAUGUUAGAUUUUCACAUUAGUAAUUUGGAGAUAAUUAGUCUUCUAAUUCUUAAAAAAAAAAAAAUAUGACGACAAUCAUUCAACUUUUUACAAGCCAAAAUCAAUGGACAAAUCAAGAGUUUGUGGUGCAGGUAUGAACAUUUCAAAUCAAAAUGUCAAACUAAUUUGAAUAGUAAUGUGGUAGAAACUUAAUUUUGCAUAAAAGAAAGAUGAAACAUCUUUAUUGAUAUAUUGUCAUAUGAAUGAGAAAAAUUACCAAAGUUUAUGGUACUUAGACACUGGUUUUAACAAUCACAUGAGUGGAGAUAAGUCAAUCUUCUUUGAUUCAGAUGAAUCUUAUCAAGAUUUUGUGAAGCUUGGUGAUGAUUCUAAAAUUUUUGUUAUGAAAAAAAGGAAAGGUAGCAAUUCAAUUUAAGAAGAAUAUUGUUCAUAUCAUCUUUGAUGUUUUAUUUAUUCCAGAAUUAAAAACAAAUUUACUUAGCAUUGGUCAACUUCAAGAAAACAGGUACAAAGUUUAUAUCAAAAUCGAAGCAUGUAGAAUUAGAGAUGACAAAUUGGGCUUAAUAUCUUCACGAUAUUACUCUUUUUUUUUUUUACAAGAUUAAAUUAGGAAGCAUGGCUAUGACAUUUUUUCUAUGGACAUCUUAAUUUUGACGGAUUAAAAAUUAUAUAUCAAAAGUAUAUAGUGAUGUGGGUUUUCCUCAAAUUACAACUCCUUAUGUUUGUGAAGAAUAUGUUGUUAGCAAAUAACAUCAAAAUCAGUUUCCACGAGAAAAAACAUGGAGAACAAGGAAGCCAUUUGAACUUGUUCAUUCAGAUAUUUGUGAGUCGAUAACUCUAUUUUCUAAUAAAGAUAAAAGAAAUAAUCAUCUUUAUUAAUGAUUACAAUCAAGAAACUUGGGUUUAUAUUUUGCAAGAAAAAUUUAAAGCUUUAAAAAGUAUAAAGCAAUUAUUGAGAAUAAAGAUGACAAUCUAAUAAAAGUUUUUCUAACAAAUCAUGGUGGAGAAUAUAAGUCACAUGAAUUUGUAAUUUUUAGUGAGACUCAUGGAAUUAAGAGGUAAUUUAUUGCAACUUACACGCCUUAACAAACUGUGUUUGUAAAAGGAAAUUCACAUUAUUAAAGAUACGGUAUAAAGUUUUUUGACAAGAAGUGGCCUACCAAAAUCUUAUUGGUCAAAAGCAGUAAAUUCAAGCAUUCAUAUUUUGAAUAGAAGUCUCACACACGCUAUUAAAGAUAAGACAUCAGAGGAAGUUUGGAUUGGAUGAAGACCGAUAGUAAAUCAUCUCAGAGUUUUUCGGUGCAUUGUCUAUACCUAUAUUCCAAACCAAAAAAGAAAAAAAUAUAUGUAAAUGAUAAAGGAGAAAAAUGUAUUUUUCUUGUUAAUAAUGAUUAUUCAAGAUCUUAUAAACUAUGUAAUCAUAAUACUAAGAAAUUUGUUAUUAGUCAAGAUAUUAUUUUCUAUGAAGCUACAUUUUGAACAUCGAGUGAUGAUGGUGCCAAACAAAAUAUUACAGUGAAUUUAAAUUGUGAUAAUAGUAAAAAAAAAAACCUAUGAAAAAAACACCACAACCGAUGGAUGAUCAUAGCACAUCUAAUAGUCAACUAUCAUAACACGUUACUUUUAUUUAGUUUAUAAGUGUUUUUAAUAUCCCUAUAAAUACAAGAUUCAAUGUAUUCAUAGGCUCAUAAGAGAGUUGAAUCAAUCCAUAAAAACUUGAAAUUGAGAAAUAUAACAAUUGAUUUAUUGAGAAGUUUCCAGCUGGUGGCAAGGAAGAUCUUGCAAUUCACAAUCGAAGACUUGAAUUUUGCCAUGAAACCCUUCUCGAACAAAUACUAGUAAAACCAUGCAUGGAACACGAUGGUACGUGUCCCAUGACUCCAAACGGAAAAUAUAAUGCCAUUUCCCACUAGCAAAGCUCUUAGACCAGUCUCCUAUUUACACUACAGACGGCAGAGACGGGGCUAAAUUGAAUAGUGGAGGGUCAUGGAGCCCCCCACACUUUGGAAAAUCAUAAAUUUUACCACUAAGAUUUUGAAAAUUCUUAAUUAUACUUCCAAUUUUACAUGUGUCACCUCAAAAAACAAUUACUUUCUAACUCCUCCCCUGACGAACUGCUACAUAUAGAGUCUAGAACACUUUAAAUCAUCUUUGAAAAAUUCAAGUCAAGUAUAAGAACCAUCAUCGUACGGACUAAAACGCGAACGCAGGAAAUCGGUCACAGCCUUCUGCUACUUUCUCCACUUUUUUUUUUGUUUUCCUUGUUACACUAUCCAAUUUAGAGUCCACAUUUUGGUCCCCUUUGAUGUUCCUUACCCUUGAAAGUUGAACGUUGUAGUGACUACUAUUUUAACCUGACUGGUAGAUAUGGAUGUAUAUUCAAGUAUUAUGUAUUUUUUUAAUUGAGAAGAGGAAAGAUAUUUUGUACGUUUAAUAAAAUAAAUUACAAAAUAUAUAAACUAAUAAAUCGAAAAGGACUUUAAGCUAACUAAAUACAAACCUAUACGGGAUAGCCACACAAGUAUUUAAAAAUACAAUCUUUCUUUCUCUCAGUUCAUUAUCGGUUAGAGCAACUAUGAAUUCAACUGUGGCCAGCAGCUACUGCUUGUCUUCUAUUCAAUCUUUAUUUUCUUUUUGUUGGAAAGUUCAAUGGGCCUUGUUCUUGACAAUUGAGCAGCCGUCUCUCGUGCGCAAUCUCUCUUAUGUCAGAUUUCAGCAACUUUCAAUUUCCUCUGUUCUGUAUGUUUCAUGAGUGAUGUACAGUACAUAGACUUCGUUUUGCAGAUGAAAGCGCGUGGUGGAGAUUAAUGUGCAUGACCUUUGAAAUAUAUAUAUAUAUAUAGAAGACUUUUCAAGUCAACUAAGCAUUCAUUACUGUAAGUAGUGCAUCUAGCUAUAUCGAUCGCCUUCUGAUGUAUUUAUUUUCCUAAUUCUGAUGGCUAUUAUCAUGUCGCUACUCAUUUCUUUAUCCUCUAAACUUUACCGGAAACAGCCAAGCUCACUUUACUAAUUACACAACUCAAUUUCUCCUAUACUGCUUCCUCUUUGCCAAAAUGAACUACCCAGUUUUUUCGCUAUCUCCUUCCCCUUCAGUUUUUGUUAUUGUAUUGUUGCUCUUCGUUCAGGUUCCUUCAUCUGUCAGCAACAGUACCCUGUUCAAUUACUGUAGUAAUAAGUUUGUGUGUGGGAAUAUUUCCGCGGAUUUUCCUUUCUGGGGAACUGGCAGACCGGCGCCUGCCUGUGGCAUUCCUGAAUUGGAGCUCAAGUGUGAGGAUAAUAUCGCCAAGAUGACUAUUGAUCGGGUUGCGUAUCGUGUUCUCGACAUCAAUCAGGAUGAUGGAAUUCUCAGGAUUGCAAGAGAGGACUACUUGGUUGGAUUGUGUCAGCCUCAAUUCGUGAACAGCACCUUCAAUCCGAAGGUUUUCGAGUCUGUUGAGGGUUACACAAAUCUUACAUUUAUUUAUGGUUGCAUGACUGCUCCUAUAGCCAUGCCUGUUCCUGGACAAUUCAAUUGCAAAAUAAACGCGGUAAAUUAUCAAAGUGGUUAUAUCCAAGAAGGAGCUACUGGUCCUGGGGAAUGUUAUGGUAGUGUCUUUAUGCCAAUUUCUAUUACAGAUUUGUCACCGGUCGUUAUGAUGCCAGAUUUGGAACAAAGCUUGAAAGAAGGAUUCAAGGUAAGAUGGAAGGUCGAUGGUGAGGCGUGCAGGGAAUGCAACAGCUCUUCAGGAGUUUGUGGUAUUGACUCUGUCACUAAUCAAACAACUUGUUACUGUCCGAAUCAAUCAAGUGGAUCAAGAACAUGUGCUUUUCUUCCAGCUCCAGGUAUGUACCUCAUCUCUUCUCCUCGAAUCAGUUCAUGAACUCCAGUCACGGCUUGAUGCUUCACACACCAUGGUUCCUUAAUUCCCUGUUUUAUUCGUUUAAUUUUAUUUUAAGUAUACUUGGAGUCUUGGACAGAAUAAAAGAAAUCUUUAUCAUGUUUUAGAACCACUUUUACUUUACUAGAGAGGCUCAAACUGCAGAACUAGAGGAUGGUAGGAAGGGAUACCUUUCCUGUUACGUAAUGGUCACUUGACGCAGUCAACAUUGAAGGAAUGGGGUCUCUUUACAUUAAAAAAUAAAAAUAAAAAACCACAAUUGUUAAUUAACUAUAAACGAAAAGAGAGGAACACCUCCUCACAAAAUACCAUUUGAAUAGUUUUUUUAUGUUUUUUUUUUGUUUUUUUUUAUUUUUAAAUUAAACAUUAGGUUGAUUAGAGAUUGAAAUUUAUAAUUUAUUUUAAUUUGUUUCUAUAAGAUUAUCUCGAUCUUAUGACUUAAAUUAUGUAUUUGACAGGCUAAUUUAAGUUUUUUUUUUUGUUUUUUUAAUUGAUUUUAAAAAAAAAAUUCAUCUUUUAAUAUUGAGUUGAUUGUGAACUAGGCUUUAUUAUUAUCUUGAUUUAUUUUUUAAAAAGUUAUCAUAGUUUCAAAAAUUAAAUAGUAAAUUUGACAUGUUAACUCGAAUUGACCCGAGUUAACAUGUACUAAAAGGACCUGACUUUUUAUUGUAGUAAUAAACAAUGAAAAGCCAAACUCUUUUUCACUUUGGUCUAAAAAUAUUUUAGGCUUUUUUUUUAAUGUUUUUCAACUUCAUCCUUCAAUAUUAGAUUUACUAGGUAUAGAGCUUCGUAGUUUGUUUUGAUUUGAUUUAUAUGAAGUUAUUUCAGUCUCAUAAAUUGGGUCAUGAAUUUUACGGGUUAAUUGUGUUAACUCGAGACAUUGUUUUGGUUAUUUUUUUAAUUAUUUUUUAAUUUUAUCCUUCUAUAUUUGGUUGUUUAGGAAUCAAACUUUAUAAUUAUUUUUUAAUCGCUUUCUAUCGAUUUAUCCUAGUCUUCUGACCCAAGUUUAACAGGUUAACCAUGGUUGACUUAGGUCAUUUAUUUAUUAUUUUUUAAUAUAUAUUUUUUUUCAAUUUAAUCCUUCAAAAUUAGGUUGGUUGGGAAUUAAAAUUUUUAUUUUUUUAUUUUUUUAUAUGUGGUUAUCUCGGUCUAAUAACCCAGAUUGCGGAUUAGGCCAGUUGACUCGGGUUUUUUGUCGUUUUUUGAAUUGAUUUUUUUAAUUUGAUAAUUUAAUAUUAGAUUGAUUGAGAAUUAAAUUUUAUAACUUGUUUUAAUUUAUUUUCUUAUGAGGUUAUUUUGAUUUUAUAAUUCAAAUUAUUAAUUUCAUCUGUUGUCAAGAAUGGUUUUUUAUAUAUUUUUUUAAUUGACUUUAGAAAGGCCUCGAAUGGCCUUUGGUGCCUCCCAACGAUAUAGAUCUCUAAAUAAUCUUUCAUGGAUUUGUAUGAUUUGCAUCAAUUGAAUGCGCGGGUCAAAAGUUGUAGAAUUUUAAAGCAACAGUGCGUGUUUUCCCUUCCUUCCGGGCUAUCUCCAUGGGCUUCUGUCCAUGAAUUCUUCAACCACAUGCCCUACGUCACGUCAGAACUUUCAAAUCUUAAUUAAAUUGACGUCAAUGUUGUCAUUAAUUUUCAUAGCAUUUUACAUAGAGGUCUACGGUGGUUUCCUUUUACCAAUUCUCGACAAGGAAAAACUCUUCCGAGGCAAGAAAAUCCAAGAUAAACCCAUCGUAUCAGUGAACCCUCACCAAAUGUUCAUAUAACAAGAUUGAACUUGUUCUGCAGUCAGAAUUGCUCUUGCGUACUUGUUCAUGGGGUUACACAUGAAAUAUUGAAACAAAUUAAGGGCAGCUGCAACCUUCCUCAGUUUGCUACAGCAUAAAUUAUGUUCAUCAGAUUCCAUUUCCGUAAUAGCUGAGCUGUUUAUUUGCAGCAGAACCAAUGUGACUUUCUUACAAAAACAUUUUCCUCAGAUGCCCUGGCUAGUGCGUCAAAAUUUACUACUCCCUUUAGAUCCAUCACUUGCUGUAGUAAAUUAUGUAGAUACCUUAAAGAUUAGUGAGCAAUUCAGUCCAUGACAGCAGUUGAAACUUGAAGUCAACCGGAAAGCUUUUCUUGACUCAAAUAACAUCUUAUUCUUAAUCCUAAUUUAUCAAAGGCAUACAAAAUUAUCAGUGAUUUCGCUGCUUUCACAAUUUUUAACUUGCAAGUGAUUGUUGCCUUAAGGACCUCUGCAAAUUCCUAGACGGAUGGACCGACAAAGUACCAGUCAAAAUAUACAAUCUCGACGGAUCUGUCAGUUCUUACACCACGGUUAGGAGUGUUUAGUGAUUUGUCAGAGAGUCGCCGUGCGGAAUAAUCUUUACUGCUGCUUCCAUAAAUAAUAGGAGAGAUGAAAUGAGGAUUCAGCCUUCAGGAAAGAUUUGAUCCGACAAACUACUUGCUCCCCAAAGACAGUAAUCUAAAGAAUUUUCAUUUGGGAUUAGUAAAUCCAAUCAACUUAAGAAUUAUAGGAAAUUUACAAGCUGAUCUGGUCUUUCUGAUAAUGUCAUUAAUUUCUGGUUGUUAAAUAUUUCAUUGUCCUUUUUCCCUUGUAUGAUAUAGUCUAAAAACUUAAAUUAAAAUUUAAUCCAAGUUUCUCACCUCAUAUCUUCGUCGGAUCAGGCCUUAGGUGGCACAUAUGACGGUCAUUCUGAACCAUUGACAAUAUUUACUCUAAGAACACGAACCUAGAACGUCAUAACGUCAGAUGACCUUUAUUUUUAUCUGCAUAUUAUACAAUAUUCUUUGAUUUGUCUUACUAUCCUGUUUGUUAGCUCGCAAACUUGUUAGCUAUACAUCUUUUCAAUAUUUUGUCUGUUCUAUUGAUGAUUUUUUAAUGGUGUUUACUGAGUCACUUGUUAAUUUGCUCAUUGGAGCUUCUUGGAUGUAUAGAAGUUCAGACAGGAAAUGGGGUUUUGGUAUAUUCUUACAAAAUCGAAAACAAGUUGCUUCUUCGUCCAUAAAAUCGGCAUCGUAUUGUUAUCCUCAGAAUUGGCUAUCCAAGAUUGCCGUGAGGCUGUAAAACAGUAAUUAAGAAGGUGCGAGGCCUGAAACUUGGAAGUCAAAUAAACCAAAUACUUGAAACAAUAACAAGGUCACGGAAUCUGACUAUCAAAAUUGAAAAUACACACUAAAAAUUAUUUUAUCUUGCUAAGAAAAUGACCUGCUGAUUCCCCUAGCCGCCUAAAUCCGCGUUGGUGACACCCUUGCCAUUCAAAUAGAAGCUUCACUUUGACAAGUUUGAAACCCCCACUUGGUCAAUUAAUACCUAUUCCAUUAUAAUGGUUGAUUGAAAUAGCUUCCAUCUAUUUUGUUUUUCCAUUUAUCUCAAUGAUAGAGCAAUUUCUCCUCUGAAUCCCUCUCUAAGAGAAAAUGCAACCCCAUGUCUUCCCAGCCAUGUCCUGGUUUAUCACGUUCAUAGCCAUGAUCUUUAUUGGUGGUUCGACACUUGUGUUCGCCAACGACGAUGAGCGAUAUGUAAACUGCAGCAACUCGUUUGAUUGUGGAGAUAUUAAGGGUGUUGGUUAUCCUUUCUGGGGAUCCAAUAGGCCUGAAUACUGUGGCUAUCCGGAGUUGAAGCUCAACUGCAGUGACCAAGAUCUGGAGAUCACAAUCGAGAAAUUGACUUACAAAGUUCUUGGCAUCGAUAACCAGUCACGGAUUCUCAGUGUUGCUCGAAAAGACUAUGCAGAAAACAUCUGUCCGACACUCAUUCUCAACACCACUUGGAUACCCAAUCUAUUGAACUACACAUCCGAUGAUCAGAACAUAACAAUCUACUAUGGUUGUCCCACGCAAGGUGCACCAGCAGCUUUACCGCUUUUACCUCAGUUUCCCUGCAACAUAAACGCCACUGAGAUGACGGGCUACUUUACGGCAUUUGCCAACUUGUCGGAUCUUGGUAACUCUGCUUCUAACUUGAUCCGUUACCUGGCAACGUGCAGCGAUAGCAUUAAAGUUCCAGUACUUGAAUCAGCUUGGCAACAAUUUUUUAGUGCUCCAAAUGUAACACUGCUGCUGGAAGGUCUAAAUCAAGGUUUUGGUUUGGAGUGGAAUGCAUUUAAUAGCUUAUGUGAUACAUGCCAAUUUUCUGGUGGUAAGUGUGGGUACAACCAGACUACUACAGCAUUUACUUGUUAUUGCAAGGAUCAACCUCAACAAUUUUAUUGCCAACAAUCUCCACCUGAAGCUCAAUCCCCAACUAAUGAUCAAUCCUCAAGUAUGUCCUCUUGCCUGUUAUUUUUUUUUUCUGCUGAUGUCACACUAGGAGUAAAUAGGAAAACAGACAACUUAUACUUGGAUUCUGCCCUUUCCAGAACCCAAGAUAUGUCCUCCUCCAAAUUAGGUAAUGGUAGAAGUAGGAUCUUUGCUAAUAGAAAACUGACCUCUUAUCAGUCAAGGAAACCAUGAAAGUGACAAGGAAAUUUAGGUGGCCAUGCGAGUGACAAGGAGUAAUCCUAACGUUUCAAGUUGCUUGUUCAUAUAUUUCCAACAUUGCAUCUGCUGAUAAGUAAUCUUCAGGUACUAUAGCAGUCUUUAGUGGUGGCAGAUGCAAGAGACUGCAAUAAAAUUACUCUCUGUUCAUGUAGAAUCGCAAGAUACUCUUCAUUCCCACUAAUCCAGGCUCCUUCUUUAGUGAACUGCGAAAAGUCGAGGUUUCUUGUUUUGUGAAUACAACUAUCCAUCCUACGCUUCCUACUAGUCCUGAUCAUUUCUUUUUCUGUCCUUUUCCAUAUGCUCUUCAUUGGAAAAUUUUGUUCCGUUCUAUCCUAUUCUGUCCAUUUCAGUCUUCUUCAACCUUGACUGCUCAAAACAUAGAAAGCUUCCAAGUUUUAAACAAAAUCUUGCUUUGCUUUCAAAUUCUGAGUUCCAGAUUUAAUUAAAAAAACAAAAACAAAAACUAUCCAUAUUUUCUCUCCCAAAUACGAAAUCUUAUGUGAUUGGUUAAGAGAAAAAAUCCAACUUUAUUAUUAUAUGGUUUUCAGCUUUAUUACCUGUUUGAGUUCUUGUAGAGAUGAUGGUUUGGUGAUGGAUUAAUCUAUUAUGAUGGUUGUGUUAGUGGCUGAUAUUUUAAUUGCAAUUUGAUUGAAUUUCUUAUAUUCUUUCCGAACAAUUUUUUAAAACAAUAAUUUUUUUAUUUUAUUUUCUUAUGGAGAUAUAGGCGUGAUAAUGCAUGGAUUGUAGUGACAAUGAUUUUUAAUUUAAUUAUGUUUUCUUUUUCUUUUUCUUUUAUUUCACUCAAUUUCAUAAUUAUUAUUUUUCACUUUUUUUAAUUAACAAACAUGUAAUUGUUUAAUUAACAAAUUCUGGGAAUUUCUUUUCUCAAUUUAAAGUAUUUGAUAUUUUUAUUUUUUAUAUUUGCUGUUCAAUAUAUUUAUUUAUUUUUUUAAUUAUGAGGGAAUUCCUGUGAAUAUGGUUUCUCUGGUCAAAUAUGAUUAUAAAAGUAAUGGUUAUGUUUCUCAUGGGAUAUAAUUCAUUGUUGAAUCUUUUCUAAUACGUAACUUGACUUUGUCAUUUCUUUUUACAUUAAUACUACAGGAAAUGAACGCGUCUUUCACCUUAAUUUUUUUAUUUUAUAAUUUCUUUUUUUAUUUUUUAUAAUUUAUAAUUUAUUAUAAUAGACGAUGAUGGUGAUGCUUGUUGAAUGGAUUCACAUCUUCAAAUUACCCUGCAUAAAAUAUUAUUUAGUCCUUGUGUUUUAGUAAGAUAAUCAGCUACUUUUUCUUGGUCAAAAAGCCUAAUAUCGUAUUCUAUGUUUUUAUUUUCGUUCAUGAUUUAGUCCUUCUGUUAAAUAUAUGUUUAUAAAGUGUUGAGGUGUCACUAAUUUAGUAUUUUUAAAAAAAAACCAUCCUUUAAUUUCAACUAUAUAUUAAUUAAAAGAAACCUAUGAAUGGUUAGGUAAUGUUUUAAACCCGCUAAGAUUAGAGAGGGGUCAAGAUAAAGAUAUAAAAAUAAAUAUAACUUUGAGAUAGCUUUAAAAUGAAUUUUUGUUUUUUCAAGACAACAAAACAUGUCAUUUCUCUUCUAAAUGUCUUUAUUUCUUUUUCUUUUUCUUUUUGAUAUUAUAAUCAAACACCGAGCUUUAAAAAACUUUAAACAUCAUUGAAGGUUAAGAAAGACUAAAUGAUAGUUUUUUAAAAUCAAAUAUAUUAAAAUAGUGUUUGAGAAAAUGAUCCAACUAUGAUUUUCAAGAUUUUUGAUUUUUUUUUAAAUUUAAACUAUAUGUUUUUUAUUAUUUUGAUGUAUUGAUUUUAAAAAUAAAAUUUUAAAAAUAAAAAUAUAUAUUAUUUUAAAGUAUUUUUAAACAAAACAAUAUUUUAAAAAAUAAUUUUUACCACUAUUCCAAACACCUUUUAAGUUAUACUACCAUUAAAAACAAUACAUAAGGAUUAAAAUUAGUAAUUCCUCAUUUUCUUUUCAGGUUUUGUUAUUCAACCAUCAUUGACCAAAAUCUUAAUAUUAUCAUGGCGGGGGUGGUUGUGGCAUGAGCUCAGUUUGUAACCACUUUUGUAAGAGUCUAUAUAGUUUGGUGUCAGAAAUGGACUGCUUUUAAAACUCCCACCUCCGUCAACUUUCUUGACCAAUUCUGUGGGUUAAUAAGCUCCGUCAUCCCUCUACUUUCUUGAUUCCCCUAAUGUCACCCCUUCAUCAGUUAACUUUUUAACGUGGCCCCUCCUACUAAUCCUCAUUCACCUUGCUUAAUUUAUUAUUAAAACUAGUAAUAUCAAUAUUUAUGAUAAUUUUAUGAUUGAUUUGUACUGUAAAUAGAUAAUUUAAGUGAGCUUAGUCCUUGAUUAGAAGAGAAAGGGUGGUUAGUGGGUUGCGUUUAUCAGUCCAGGUCAGCAUUAACGUAAGAAUUUGAAAGGAAUGGCUUAUUUGACCCAAUGAAGGAUAAGUAGGAGGGUCAUAUCAAGAGAAAUAAUUGAUAGGGACCACAUUGAGAAAAUUAUAAAGUAGAUGGGGUGGUUUUUGAAGUCUUGCCUAGCUAUCAAAACAAAAUUCUCAACAACCUUUAAGAAAUUUCCGUCUCCCCUUACAAUUGAAUUAAACAGGAUUUUAGUGUUAUCAUGGCGCCCACCUGAAUAUUUCAAUAAAAAAAUAUAAAAAAAGCAGGAUAUUCCCUCUUGAUAUCAUUCUGUUUAUUUUUAUAUUUUAAAAUAUUUUUUAAAAAAUUUAAAUUUUUUUUAUUUUUUUUACUUUAAAUUAAUAUUUUUAUAUUAUUUUAAUAUAUUUCUAAAAAAAAAACACUUUAAAAAACAAUCACAACUAUACUUUCAAAUAUAAUUUUUGAUUUUGUAAAAACAAAUAUAGCUCAUUUUUUAUAUCUAGUGAAAAAAAUAUAAAUUCAAAUAUAUUAGAAAAUUCUGAAAAAAAUAACCCUCUUUUAGAAAAGAACAUUUUUAUCAUAAUUUCUUAAUUCCGAACUAAAUAGCCUAUUCUUAAGAUAAAGAUGAACUUGGACCUUACUGAUAUAAAAAUGAGAUUUAUGAUUAAUUAUAAUGGAAUUUAUUUAUUUAUAUACUUAAUAAUUUAUCAUGAACUUUAGUCUUGCUAUUGCGAAGAUUAUUUUGUAGACAGUCACAAAACAAUCAUUGUCUUACAAGAACCUAAUCCAACAAAAGUCAACCAAAGCCAGCCCAUGUCCAUAACCAAGUCAAUAGUCAUGUUCUACACAACCACCCUCCCGUUACCAACACCACCCUCCCGUUACCAGCACCACCCUCUUAACCUUCCCCACCAUUCCACCAGCUGCUGCACAACCCCUUCUGAUUCCUCCACCAAUGCACCCCCUCACCAGCACCUCUUCCCUUCUCACCCUCUUUCUCUCCCUCCACUUAGCGACAUCGCUUCCUUCCAAUGGCAUUAGUAAUCUUACAAACUGUAAUCAAAACUUCUCCUGUGGUAACCUCACAAACAUCGCCUACCCUUUCACUGGUGGCCUACGUCCAUCCCACUGCGGCCCACCGGAGUUCGGCCUCACAUGUGAGGAUGAAUCAGUCACCAUUCUAAAAGCUAACUCACUGAGUUACCGAGUCACUCAGCUUGACCAGACCAGCCAAACCUUAAGACUCUCACGUUCAGACCUCGACGACGACAGUCCAUGCACCAGCCAAUUCAAUAGCACCACUCUGGAUAACAGAAUGUCCAUUCUUGGUUCCAGCCAUGAACUUUCUUUGUCUUAUGGAUGCAAGAAGAUUAACGACUCUUACAUGGGAUCAGAUCCGCUGCUAAAAAUCUCUAGGUUCUCUUGUGACAAUCAUGGAGUUACAGAAGAAGGGUUUUUCUCGAUUGGUUACCCUUACGGUGAAUAUCCUUUUCCGAAUAUGUUUGAGUGUCAAGCUAAUAUUCGAGUGCCAAUUCUUGGGACUCGGGCACAACAGCUUUUUGAUAACGGGUCAUUAGUUGGUGAGGUUUUGAGAGAAGGGUUUGAUGUCAGUUACAGUGCUAAUUGUACAAAGUGUUACAAGGAGCACCCUGGUGGGUAUUGCGGGUUUGAUACACAGUUGGGUAAACCUAUUUGCAUUUGUAAUGAUCGGCUCUGUCCUGGUAAGCAAAAAUCUUUAGUUUUCAUGAGUUUGUUUGGUGAACCUUAUUGGGGAAAUUGAUGAGAGGAGGUUCUUAUCAAAUUAUAUAAUGCUUCACUGAUUUCAAGAAUUGAUGAGAGGAGGUUCAAUGUUCAAAAUUAGGCUUUUUUGAUUGAGUCUUGUGUUCACUCUCUGCCCCUUUAAGGCCAAGGAGGUCAUAAUUUGGAUUCAACAAUAUGAUACAUUUCUUGUUAGUGAGAUGUUAAGCAAAUCUUGCUUAAGCUAAGAGAAAUGUUUUUCACUAAUUAAUUCUUAUUUCUAUCGUAGUUUUGUUCAGUGAUAGGAAAAAAACUGAACAAUUCAUUUAGUCAUAGUUUUCCCCCUGUUUUUCCCCUGCCUGUUUUGCUGCUUUCUCCAACGUUGACUAGCUUCCUUUACCUUGGCAGGUUGUUUAGGCCAAUGGCCUGUUUGUCUUUAAUCUGAAAGAAUUCAUGAAUUAGUUUGCAUCUAACAAAUAAUAAUUGAGAUAGCCACUAUCAUAUUUUACAAGUUUCUGUUAGCUGAUCAUGCCUUCUAAGUCCGUCCCUGGUGAAAAUUUGUCCAGUGUAGUCUUUAUUCUCAACUGAUGUUUCUUGCUCUCAUGAUUUAUGCAGAUAACUCGACUAAGAAGAAACGACGACUUAUAAUAGGUACUCUUCUGCUACAUAUACUGUGUUAAAUCAACAUUGAAAAGAAAAGCUGAGCUGUUUCUUUUCUUUUCUUUUCUUUUCCAGGACUUAGCACAGCAGGUGCAGUCGUUAUUGGUAUCAUUUUUGGAUGCUUGGUCUUGUUUGUCGUACAACGAAGGAAAAGAAAAUCUGCCCAGGUGAAAAGCAAAGGCCUGCCUGUAGCUACACCUCCUUCAAGCAAAGGCCUUACUACUUCAACUAAUCUCUCUCAGGCCACUACUUCUCUUACCUCCUCAAAGUCAUACCUUGAAAAGGGCAGUACCUACUUUGGAGUGCCGGUGUUCAGCUACAAUGAACUUGAGGAAGCCACUAAUUGUUUCGAUCUUCUAAGGAACUUGGAGAUGGAGGCUUUGGCACUGUUUACUAUGGUUAGAAGAUGAAUGAUAUCAUUUGCAGUAUAGUAACUUGCACAAAUUAACUUAACUUUUGUUCCUUUCUAAUUUUUGUAAUGAUUGCUUGAAUGAUCAGGUGUACUCAGGGACGUGUGGUUGCCGUCAAGCGCCUUUAUGAGAACAACAUGAGACGCUGAGCAGUUUAUGAAUGAAAUUGAGAUCCUAGCUCGUUACGGCACAAGAACCUGGUGAACUUAUGGAUGCACCUCAAGGCACAGCCAGAGCUUCUACUUGUUUAUGAAUACAUUCCUAAUGGAACGUUGCUGAUCAUUUCAUGGAAGACAGUCAACUCUGGUUUGCUCACUGGCCUGUUCGGUUGAGCAUUGCUAUAGAGACAGCCAGUGCACUUGCAUACCUCCACGCUUCAGAUGUCAUACAUCGUGAUGUCAAAACCAAUAACAUUCUCCUAGACAAUGACUUCCAUGUGAAAGUGGCUGAUUUUGGUUUGUCGAGAUUGUUCCCAACUGAUGUACUCAUGUAUCGACUGCUCCACAGGAACACCUGGAUAUGUUGAUCCGGAGUAUUAUCAAUGCUACCAACUCACCAACAAGAGUGAUGUUUACAGCUUUGGUGUCGUCUUGAUUGAGCUGAUAUCAGCUUUAGAAAGCAGUGGACACCAAUAGGCACGGCACGAUAUUAAUCUGUCCAACAUGGCAGUCAACAAAAUCCAAAAUGCUUUAAAUGAGUUGGUUGAUCCAUUUCUUGGAUUCGAUAAGGAUUUCGCAGUGAGGAGGAUGGUAACAUCAGUUGCAGAAUUAGCUUUCCGGUGUUUGCAACAAGAUAGAGAAAUGAGGCCAGCUAUGGAAGAAGUAUUGGAGGCAUUAAAAAGAAUCGAGAAAGAAAACUAUGGAGCAGGGAAUGCAGAAGUUUUGGAUAUUAGGGAUGAUGAUGUUGGGUUACUGAAGCAUGCUCCUCCCCCAGUUCAACUUUCACCGGACUCCUUGUCUGAUCCAUUUUGGGCCGACAGUUCAACCAUAACCCCGCAUUCCUACUAGCAGUUGAGAUUUCCUAAUCCUUUUCAGCUUUAAAUUCCAGUUUUGUUACCAUCAAUUAUCAGAUAUCAAUGAGUUUUGAGUUCUACUAUCUUUCACUUCUUGUUGAUUUGUUGUUAACACACACAAAAAAAUGCGGUCUACAUCUCUGUAGAAGCUGCACUUUGAGCCAGGCCAUCAAGCACAAUUAUUGCUCUUACAUGGGGUGGAUUUAUAAAAUGCUGCUAUGAUUGUUUGCUAAUGUUCAAAUGUUUGAAUGAAGAUUUCGUUUUCAAUAAGUUAGAAUGCAUUACUUACAACCGUUUUAAAAGUCGUUGUUUCUUCUGUUACAGAUGGUAAAGGGUGAGAACAGUUUGGCUGAGUUCCUGCGAGCUAGGAUGGCUAUCUGUUCCAGUUCAACCUCGCCUGUCAAAUGAGGCGUUUGCUCGAAUUUGGUGGCAAAAAUCUUUGGCCGUGACUCCAGCAAGAUUUGCUAUUGUCCUCCCUGUAUAGUACCGGAAAGCAUCAAGGAUCCGGCGAGAGACUCUCUCAACGGGACUAGAUACCAAACGAUGAUUUGGGAUGCUGUUGUUGAUACAUGGGAAUUCUGAAGUAUAUUUUGGAGACUUCUUUUUUAAUUUUGAUUUUGUAAAUACGAAUAACGAAGUCUAAAUAAUUUAACACUUCAUGAAACAUGUCUGUCUACUCCCUUUUCUCUGCUUGAUCCAGACUCCUAUAUCCUGGCAAACCCAAAAAAAAAAAAGAGUCAUAACCACCACUAGAUCUAAAUAAUUGCACAUACAAGUACAAAAACAAAAAGAAAAAAGAUUUAUACUUUGCAUUUGAUCUGGACAAAGUAUCCUUGAAUCAGCUUUUUAUUUUUAAAAAAAAUAAUAAUUUCACAUCUAGAUCUUAUAUUCACCAAAAAAAAAUUUCAUGAACUCUCCUAUCACCACAGCAAAAGCUUUACUAUUGUUAAACUUGUUUUAGCAUAAACACCACUAAUUCUUUAAUCCAACUAUGUGUAUUUUUAAUAUUAUAAUAUUUUUUUUAGUUAUGGUUGUAAAAAAAAUAUUUUUAGUUAUAAUUUUAAAAAAGAAAAAUUUAAAGAAAUUAAGUGUUUGGUUCUAAGAAAUAUGUUUUUUUGUUAAAACUGCUAUGAAACAUAUUUUUGAAUGUAAAAUAAUUGAAAAGUAUAUUUUUAUAAAUAAAAAAUAUGUUAUUUUAAUUUUUACAAAAUCAAGGUUUGAUUUAUAAUUAUAUAUAAAAUAUAAUGCAAAAAAAAAAAAUAUAUAUAUAUAUAUAUAUAUAUUACUAACUAAACAAUUUCUUUCUCUUAGGAGAUAAAAAUAAAAGCUACGGAAUGUCAAUUCAUUUCUAAAAAACCAUGCUAUUCUAAAAAUAAUCAUGAAAAUCAUUACAAUAUUGGACUUCACCAUACGUGGAAUGGUAGGACAAAACCGGCAAUUCAUUUUUUCUCUAAAUAAGACAACCAAUAUUAUUAUUAUUAUUAUUAUUAUGAAGACAUAAACUUUGUCCUUGGCCACAUUAGAUUAGAUCAUACUAGGUAGUCUAUCACGUGCAAUUUCCGUUACCAAACCUCAUUAGUCAUCGCCUCAAACUCUCUUGAAACAAAGACACAAAUCCAUUUCUCACACUUUCACUUGCGUCGGCUCCAUAAUCCCAAGCCUCCCACUCUCCGCCACUUGUCACCACAUACCCAUCACCACCCCUUCGAAUCCAAACACCAGAAAAAAUAAAACAACCCCUCUCCCCUUCUUCUCCUCCACAAGAUCAAAACGAAAAGAAACCCAGAUGGGGUUUUAAAUCUCAAUAGAUCUCAGAGCUUUUGAGAGAGAGAAGUCUUGGGGUUUUCUUGCUUUUCUUGAUUAAUGGCGACGCUGCAAAAAUUCAAGCUAUUAGCCACGCAAUGUGCAGUGACAGCCACACCAACACAAAGUCCAACGUCAAGUCCGGUUUUUCACAUCCGCCGCAGGAGGAAGACUCUUCGGAUGCUACUCUCGAAGAAAUCCGAUGCUCGCUGGAGGGCUCCCCGGCGAGAAGAUCAGUCGGAGGUGGAGGAAGAUCCGUUGCCCGAGAAGAGGGUGAGGAGGAAAUUGAAGGAUUUGUUUGUGUCUUCCCCGCCCUUUGAGCAGGAGAGGAGGGGUGGCGAGCGUGGUGGUGGCGAGGAGGUGGGGUUGAUUAGUGGCGGCGGAGCCGCGUUGAGAAGAGGUGGCGGGGGCGGCGCGUUGAGACCGGUGGCGGCGACGUUUAGAUAUAGAUUGUUAAGGAGAGCUUGGAGACCUGUAUUAGUUACUAUCCCCGAAUAAUUCUUACCGAUAAAUGGAAAUAUUUUUGUUUCUUUUGUUUAUUCUGUGAAGUAAUUGUUUAUCUCCUUUGUCAAGUACAUAUUUUUUUCCGGUGUUUUAAUGAUGCUAGGAGCUAUUGAUUCUCAAAGAAGAUGAUGGUAGAUUUUUAGAGAAAUUAACAAAAAAAAAUAUAGUUGUAUUAGUAAAUUAAUGGUCUUUUACUUUUAGUCUCAAGAACACAUUGAAAUUAAAUUCAGCUUUUAGCCUGGUCUGAAGGUGAUUAUUCUUGCUGAAAACUCCGUGAGAGAAUGCCAAUUGGGAGUAGUAAUCUUUGAAUUUGAUUUGAACACAAUAGUAAGACUGGAAAUUGAUUUGAGUUUUGUUUUGCUCAUUAUUGCAUUAUGCGCUUAUAAGUCAAGAAAGGGUAUGGUAAUUUUUUUUAUUAUUAAUAUUGGUGUUUGGAUUAAUUUUAAUAUUUUUUAAUAAAUUUUACGAGUUUUAAAUAGUGAUUACAAUUUUAAAAUAUGAUUUGAAUGGUAAAUGGAUUUAUUCAUGUUUUUAUUUUAAAUUAUGUUUAAGGGAUUAUAAAAAAAUAAGUUUAAUAUAAAUACAUCAAUGUGAAUGUAAAUGUGCUUGACAUUGACAUAUGGAAAAAAGGAAUGAUUUCAAGUGAUAAAUAUAUCAAAUACUAAUACAAUAAAAAAUAAAAAUCUUAACAAUUAAACUAGAAAAACAAAAUAUAUUAACUUGUUUGGAACGUAUAAAAUUAUUGAUAGAUAAUUGAUAAUUGGAUUCUUUAAGCAUAUUAGAAGAAAAAAUAUUUAUUUUUGAUUAUUUUUUAUAAAUUAAUUUUUAUUUAAAAACUCUAAAUAGAUAUAACCAUAUAAAAUUAAAUUUAAUUCAAAGAAUCUCAAUCAACUCACAAGCUAAACAAUGAAAAUAGAAAGGGAAAGACAAACAAAGCGUACGUUAGCAGGAGUGGCGCAUUUUAUCAUAGUGUGACAAGGAGAUGGUGGCAGAGAGAAGGGUCAAGGGAAUGCUUUUUGUUAGCUACAUAAUUAUUUGUAUAAAUAUUUUUUUGUUAUUUAUACGAGAGAAACGAAGAUUCCACUGAAUGGGUUGACUUGUCGAAGAGUUUUUGUUAUCAAGGUGGGGUAGAGCAGAGCACUGAAGGUGCUAUAGAUUAUGCAGACAGAGAUACGGAGGAAUUAAUAAUUCUUAGUAUAAAGUCUCUGUCUACGGCAGCUACCUUGUGUUGAUGUUAUAUAAUUAUAUCCAGAAAUUGUUUGAUGAAGGGUUGUGUGCCUUUCAAUUAUUUGUAGAUCCAUAGUGGAAAUGUGGAUCAUACGUGCAUGGUCAUUAUUGGAUGUAAAUUUAUUAUUGAGAACGUUGAGGAUUAAAUGACUGAUUGAAAGUGGGGUAAGGACGGUAUUUUAAGAUAUUUUUUAUUUGAAAAUAUAUUAAAAUAAUUUUUAUUUAUUUUUUAUAUUAAUAUAUUAAAAUAAUCCAAAAAUAUUAUUAAAUUGAUCUGAAAUAAAAAACAAACUUUAAAAAAUGAUGAAACAACUAUUCAACUGCGAUGUAAAUAGACAAGUAUUUGUUUGAUUUUAUGUUACUUUUUAUUUUUCAAAGAAUUUUUUUAAAAUAAUUUUUUACCUGAAAAAGUAUCAAAUUUAUAUUUAUAUAUUUAUACACAUGCAUUGUUUUUCUUAUUUUAUUUUCUUAAGGUUAGUCGUUGAGGUUUUGAAAAUAAUUUUUUUUGAAAUAAAAUUAUGAGCAUAAAUAUAUGAUUUAUAGAAAACAAAAGUCUUAAUUUUUAAACAGAUAUACUUAGUUAUCCUCUCAACUCUUAUAUUGUCCAUUACAUUUAAAUUGUUUACCUAACUUUGACCAAGUUCAAGAUUUGACAAAUAGGGACUGCUUGAUUUAAAAAAAAAAAGAGGGACUAAAUUGUAUUUAUUGUUAAACAAGAUGACCAAGAAAUUCAUAUUAGAGGCUUAUUUAUAAGAAAAUGAGAUAUAGGGACCAAAGUAAGUUUUUAAAUAAAUUUUAGGAUUUGAAAUGUACAUUAGUUAAAUAUUUCAUAAUAUGAGCAGUUAACACGUUUUAUUAUUUAAUGAUAUUAGUUACAUCAACUAAUGGAAGGACCUUAAAACGAUAAAAAUAUAAUGUACAUAGAUAUCUUAAGACAAAAAAAAUUAGUUAAAGGACCUUUUAAACACAAAAAAAGAGUAUAGGGAUGUGCAACAUUGUUACCCCGUGUCUAGUGUUGUCCGAUUUGAUUGAGUGAAUUUUUUUCCUUGUCUUAUUAGUAUUUAUUUAAAAAUGUGUACUUUAUUUUUAAAAAAAAAUUAUGCGUAUGUGUUGUUUCUGUGUGGAUUUGUAGUUUGAGAAGAGAAAAGAAAAAAUAUUAUUAUUAUUAUUAUUAUUUAAUUAGUAUGGAUAUCCAAACCAGUUUGCAUAUACUUCGACUAAUUUUAUAAAUCUUGAAGUUAAUGAUUAUGUAAAUCUCCAGUGAUCUUGAGAUUUGUAAGACUCGAACGGUUGAUCUAUAGUAAGCAAAUUCAAAACUUGACUAAUUAAACUAUAUUCUUUAUUAUUAUAUAUAUAACACGCCUUUGAACUGCUAACUCCGGCCAGCAGCCUCCAUUAUUUAAGGGCCCUUUGGAUACCCUAAAGAUCCAGUUUGCCCCAAAGUGAUAACAGCUUGCUUUGGAGCUCGGCCUAAAGAACCUUGCUUCCCUAAUCAAGUAGGUUAUCUUUGCUUGUCAUCAUUUUGAUUCAUUUUCUUUGUGUAUUUUUUUUUUAUUUUAAUAUAUUAACUAUUGAGUGAUUGGAUUGAGAUCUCAUUAUCAAUAUUCAAUAAGAAAAACCAUCUUUUUCAAUCACCAAAUCAUCUCAAAAUAUUAUGCAAAUAACAUUCCAUUAUGAAAACCACUUUCAACUUCAAACUCGAACAUGAAAUUUUUAUUUUUAUUUUUAAAAUCUAAAAUUUUCAAGCUCUAAGACUCGUAAAUCCAAUAUUGAUAGUGAUGCAGGUGAAAGCAAUUAAAUAAAGAACACAUAAUGUUUUAAUGAACAAAAAAAACUACAAAUAAGAACUCAAGUUUAUCUUUUCUAAAAUAAUGAUAAUAAAAUAUGUCUCUUUAAGAGGUUUACAAGUCUUAGAUAGAUCAAAAACCCUACAUAGAGAACAAAAAUAAAAAUCCAAGAAUACAAAAGAAAGAAGCAUAAAAUCCAAAUAAGUAAGAAAUUCAAAACAAAAACAAAAAAAAACUGUCAAAAUUGGAGGGUCUAGGCGAGAUUUUGAUGUCUAAAGAUUUGACAGUUCAUGCAACGAUACAAUGACUAUUAUAGAGAAAAUAGCUUUCGAAAAUUAUUAUAAAAAUUUGAGCGCAAUCUAAUAGUUGAAUAAAAAAAAUUAUAGUUUUUUUGAGCUAUUAUUUUGGUCCGACACAACUAAACAUACUCUUCAGCCUUAAUUUGUCUCGUUGGUCCAUAAAUAUAUCUAUUAGAUUAUAUACAUAAUAUAUUUAUGACAUAUUUUUAUUUAGUUAUGAUAGAUUUAUAUCUAACUACUAAAAAUUACUUAUUAUUGUAGACUUGAUUAUAUUAUAUAUGUUCAUAAAAAUUAAAUGUGGAUAAAAUCAAAUCGAUCUAACCUUUUAUUUAAAAGUAGUGCAGCCAGCAAUAAUGGCCAAGACCUAAUCAAAAGGAUCCUAAACCAAAUACUUACUAAUUCAAAUACUAAAAUUAAUGAAAAAGGAAAAAAGAAAUGUUAAUUAAAAAAAAUGGCACUCCAUUUCGUUGUUAAAUUUGCCGAAUUCGAAGUAGAUUUUGCGUCAACGGAAGCAUGACGUUCAGAUGCUCCUCUUUUCUUUAUUAUAUUUUUUUCUGUCCUCUGGUUGACUUUCAAAUUCUCUUGUUUUCAAUUCAAAGGAAAUUGGCGUGGUUGGUUUUACGUCCAAAUAGCCUUUAGGGUACGCCAUUGACUAUUGAGUAUUGAAUGCCUAAAAAUUAUCGACCAAACUAGAUAAUAAAUAUGCAGGGAAAACAUGCAUGAUUCCUUGUAUUUAUGUUAUGUUAGAAUCAAUUAUCAUUUAUAUCUUUGUUUUUUUUUAUUAUUAAUAUGUCUCGAUCAAUUUACAUGCAUUUACAUGCAUGUUGACUAAUCCCAUGAAUAUUUAUAUCUUUAUUGAUUAGAAAGGAACUAGAUUUGUAUUUCUGCAGGAGUAUAUAUAUAUAAAACUAAUGUCCAUACUCUGCAAACACUUAUUAAAGAAGUGAAAAUAAUUUGAUUAAAUAAAUUAAUUUUAUUUUAAUUAGAUUAUAAAAAAACAAUGAAAACAAGUGGACCAAAAAACAUAUGAUCACAGUGACUUGACAUAAAAAACUUUUUUUUCAAAAAAAAAUUAAAAAUAAUGCAGAUCAAUUCUCAGUCAAUUAAAUAUAAAAGAACAUAACCAAAUUUUAAAGAAUGAAACCAAAGAAAGAUUAAAAUUUCCUUUUUUUUAAAGCGACCCUAUAAAAAAAGUUAAGCUAAAUUAGAUAAACUUGUAACUCAAAUAAUAAAAUUGAAAUAACCUGAUAGAAAAAUAUAUAUAUAUAAUCAUGAUGACUUGACAGAAAAAACCUUUUUUUAAAAAAAAUAAAAAUAAUGUAGAUCACUUCUCAGUUAAUUAAAUACAGAAGAACAAAACUAGAUUUUAAAAAAUAAAACCAAAAACAAAUUAAAAAACAUUAAAACAAAAUUAUUUUAAAUUUUAAUCCUCAAACUUGUGAUUUGAGCUUUAGGCAAGGUCAUGAACUUAACAUAGUUUUUAUAACAUUAUUAGAUUUUAAGAAUGACAAAAAAAAAAAAAAUCUCUCGGACAAACUUUUUAGUCAUGGGAAAAUGAAAUUGUGAAUUGCAUUUGAUAAAUUAUAUACACAAAGGAAUUCAAGUUUCUCUUUUCCCCUUUCGAAGGCAAAAGAAUGCUUUCAGUAACCAGCAUUAAUAGCAAAAUGACCACCAUAUAUAAAACCACAGUACAGAUCUUUAAUUAUGAGAAAAGCAAUUGUUACUUCUUUUCAAUUUCUUUUUUAAAAUCACAUUUUCCAACUUUCACCGUUUAUAUUUUUUUUCCUUUCUGGGGAGCAGCUUAAGUGUCUUUCUUUGGUCCGAUGAACAAAAGAGAUAUACAGUUUCAUACAGAGCAAAUCCAAGGCUUUGAAGCCCAUAUUUACAAAUCCAAAAUCUUCUUCCAGGGCCUUUUAAAGUUAAGGGCUUUUCUGGUUUGCUGCUGGUUACUAAAGCCCAAAGGGGGACUCCAUGAAACUAAUUUGAGAUUCGAAACCCUGCCAUGAAUUCAAUUUACCUUCCCCUAUUUUUUCUUUUCAUGAUUAGUGGGAUAUUCUAGGCAGUUUAGUGAGACGAAAUUCCGUUUUUUGAGUGAUGUUAAUCCAAUUUUGGGAAUUACUUAGCAAGUCUCCACUUAAUUCUUAAUAAUCCAAUUUUUUCUAAAAGAAAAAAAAAAUCCGCAUGAAAAAACUAGCAUAAUCACAAAAAUAAAAGAAAAACUUAUGUCUAAAGUUGCAUUUAAUUACUAUUUCAGGAUAAAAUUAACAUUUACAUAAGAGAUAAAAAUAUAUUUAAUUAUAGGUUCUGUUUUGAUUUUAUAAUUAUUUUCUGGUCUCUAAUAUUAAAGUUAUAAUAUUUUAUAUUUUCUGCUUCAAUUCAAUUUUUAAUAAUAUUUUUAGUAUUCGUUAUAAGUUCUACCGAUAAUCCUUCCAACGAUCCUUAAUAGUCUUUAGGUUUAUAUUUUUUUUUUUGUUUUUGUUUUUCAUGUGAGUGAGAUAAUUUUUAAUACGCAAGUAAUAUAAAUAAUUUAUGCAUGUUAAUUAUAUGAUAAAUACAAAUGAUAUUCUUGAUAUAUGUUGAUUUAUUUUUUGAGUAUUCGUCAAUUUUUCAAAAUUGUAUUUACAUUCUGUUGAAUUAAUUUUAUUUAGUAGAUUAUUUGUUAUUUUUAAAAAAAUAUUAUUUUAAUAUAUUUUAAAAAUAUUUUAAAAAACAAUUCGAUGACACGUGACAUAAAAUAUAUGUGAUAUAGUACUUACUUUCUUUGACAUUUUAUCAGCAGCAUUAUCUUGUAAUGAUGUUGUAAGGUAUAAAACGGAUGUUUUAUCACAUUGUGGCUUUUUUGCUUUUGAUAUUAGAGUUUCGAUUCCAACUAUGACAAGGGAUUAAUUUGAUAAUCAAAAUAAAGAUGAGAAUCCAACUUUGAACAUAUAUUAUACGGAGAUAUAAAUAAAUAUAAUUUUCAGCAUUUAAUAAUAAUUGAAUAUGUGAUCUUUUGGUAAAAAUCAAAAGUUCAUUACCGAUGACCUAAAGGUCAAUUGGUUAAUACAUUGUUGUUUUUUUGCAUCUUUUGAUUGAUGUUUCCUGAAAAAUUUUAUAGUUCUCGUAGAAUAAUUAAUAAUAUUUUAAAAGAGAAUAUAAAAUUUAUAAUUUAAUAAAAAUAUCUCCACUUAGUAUUUUUCUCUUCUAGUUAUGCCUCUCUAUUUCUUUAAAAUAAAUUUAAAAAAUAAUUAAUAAACAAGCACUAUAAAAUUACUUGAUGUUUACCUAUUUUGAAUAGAAAUAAAAUUUCUACACCAUAAGUUUUCUUUCAAACAAACAAGAUAAUGGAACCCUCAUACCAAUAUAUUUAUACUAUAUUAUUAGAUCAUUGACUUGUAUUAUGUUGCAAGUCGGGUUAAAUUUUUCAUGAAUAUAAAAAAAAUUUAGAUAUCACUACCUUUUUUUUAGUGAAUUUUUUUUUAACCAUAUAAAGGUUGACUUAAUAUUAUUUGAUUGACUUUACAAGUCCAAAAGCAAUCCGGAUGACAUGUAAAGACAUAGUUUGACUCAAAUGUUUUUCAAGAUGAUAUUUUUUUUAAUAUGGUAAUAACAAUAUAUUGGAUUGACUUGAGUUAACCUAAAUUAACAUGUCAAACUCAUGAUCCGGGUUGUGAAAACUAUGAUAAACCCAUAGAAAACAAAUUAUAAAGCCCAAUUUUCAAUCAACCUAAUAUUGAAGGAUAAAAUUGAAAGAAAAAUCAAUAUAAAGGACAUAAAAAAGCGACCCAAAUUAACUUAUCAAAUUUGUAACUUGGGUCAUAAGAUCGAGAUAACUACAUGAAAGGAAAAAAAAUAUAAAGUUCAAUUCCCAAUCAGUCCAAUGUUAAAAAUAAAACUACAAAAAUCAAUGUUGAAGGACAUGAGACCGAUAUAAUCUCUUAGAAAUAAAAUAAAAACAAAGACUUGAUUUAACCGAGGUUAAAACAUCAAAACUCGCGACUCUGAUAUUGAGACCAAGGUAUCCUCAUAUAAAAUUAAUCAAAACAGAUUAUGAAGUUUAAUUUUCAAUUGACUCAAUAUUAAAUGAUAAUUUAAAAAAAUUAAUAAAAAAAAUACAAAAAAUAACUUGAGUCAACUCGGGUUAGUCCGUUAAGUACUAUUCUCGGGUAAUGAGAUCGGAAUAACUUAAUAUAAAGUAAAUAAAAUAAAUUAUGAAAUCUAAUUCCUAAUUAACUCAAUACUAAAAGAUAAAAUUAACAAAAAAAGUUAAAUAUAAAAAAAAAACCCUAGCUAACAGGGUUAACUUGCUAAACUCCCGACCUGUGUCAUGAGAGUGAGAUAACCCAAUAAAAAAUAAAUAUAAUACUAAGGGAUAAAUUAAAAUAGAAGAAGAAAACAAAGACAUAAAUGUUUUUUUAGUUUUAGGUUCGCACUGAAAAGUAUUAUUCAUGGCUAAUACCUAUAAUACUUCCUCAUAUGUUUUAGUUAAUUGCUAAUAAUUAAUUAAUAACAACAAUAAUUAUAAUAAUAAUUAGAGUAAAAUGGUGAAGAAGAUGACUCUUGAUAUGAUAGGGUGCCUGAAUCCAGCUUGUAUUGAUUUGUUGCCUUGAUUAGCCUUACUGAAGCCACGAGCAUGAUCCCCAAAUAGAAAGGCUUUGGGGCUUUUCCGAUGAAAGCAAAUGAAAAGACUUUUUAACGAAAAAUUAUGGAUUUUCAAGAGAAAAAUUGAACCAAAUAGGGAAAUGGAACGUUUCCUUUUCUCUUCUUUCCUCUGCCGUCAUCACACGACCAGAGAACUUAUCCCUUUUCUAGUUUGGUUCCUGUCCUUUUCUUUCCCUCAACAAACUUCAGAAUUCUGGGCCAGAAAUGAAAUAAAAAAUAAUAUUUAGUCCAAGUGUUUAAUAAAUAUGAAAUUAUGUGAUAUAAAUAAUGAAGAACAUUUCACAAUAGCAAAAAGGAAAAAAGAAAAAUCCACUAAGUUAUUAUUGUUAACGUGACAAUAACUAAAUAAUGUUAGUCACGCGUUAUGGUUAGCGCGUGGGGUCCUCUUUCUUGCUCUUUAUAAUCUUUAAACGACAUGUCCUCUUUUGCCCACCACAGUUCCACCACAAGAGCAGAAAGUGUCAGCAAGGUGUUCAUAUGCCUCACGUACGUCAUUACAGGACCACUACCAACCAACGUUAUGAAAAUUAAAUACCUCCUUCUUAUAAAAACAAUAAAUUAAAAACCACCUACCAAAUAUUUAAAAAACGGUUCAAAAUUAUGGUAAUGAUUAUAAUUUAAAAUAUUUUUAUAUAGAAAUAUAUUAAGAUAAUAAUUUUUAUUUUUUAAAAAUUAAUUUUGAUAUUAGCGUAUUAAAAUAAUUUAAAAUACUAAAAAAAUUAUAAUCUAAUUUUAAAUAAAAAAAAUUAAAAUUUUUAAAAAUACAUUAGCCCGGCUACCAAACAUACUAGAAGAAGAAACCCACCUUGAAAUCACAGUCCACACAUCAGCAUUUUCCAAGCAUGUACACGUCAAAUGAUAUUUUUUUUAUUAGAAUAUUAAAAACUUUAAAAAAUAUUUAAAAAGUAUUAAUUUAUUUUUUUAAUGCAAAAAAAUACAUAAGCUAUCGUAAUGCCAGCAAGCCUUACACUAUGAAAAGAACCAUUGAUAAUCUAAUUUCAAGUCAUAUGCACAUGCAUAGUUAUUAAAAUUAUCUAAUUUCAAGUCACAUGGCAUGAGUUCAAGAUUACAUAUCAAUCAAGGUAAUCCACAUCAAUUAAAUUAUUUUAAAAAAAUUAAAAUUAUAUCAUUUUAUUAUUUUUUGAAAGUAAAUAUGUUUUUUUUUUUCAUUUAGUCAAACAAUUUACAAAUUGACCAAGUUAAUUCUCGGUUGAUUUUUUUUGACACCUAACCUCAGCUAAGUUGAAGUCAACAUAAUUUUAUUUUCAAGUUAAUGUAGUUUUAUUGUAUUAAUAUUUUUUUUAUAUAAUUUGAAAUUUAUUUGAAAUUAUAUAUAUAUUUUAAUUAAAAUGUAUUUGUGAGUAUGAUAAUGAUUAUUUUUUUAAAGUGCUUUUAACUUAUAAAUAUUUAAAAUAAUAUGUAUUUUUUAAAAAUUAUUUUAAUACUAUUAAUUUAAAAACAUUUUAAAAAUUCAAAAUUUUUAAAAUAUCAUUACAAACGCAUUCUCAAUCUUACAUCAAAUCAAAUAAUGUUUAAUAAAUAUGCUCUAAGAUACUGAUUGGACCCAAAUGGAUGGACGGUGCAUGACAUGAUGCUUGGAGAGUCCCUCACACAACCAAAACCCAAUGAACCACAAUGCACCCCCCAACUUCCCCUAACUAUAGUUGCCUUGAAGCAGUGUCCAUGUGCAGUAGUUUAAACUAUAGAGUAUAGAUUUUCUUGCUUUCCUGUCCAAAGUAAAAGGAAAGAGCUCCCCUUCCCUUUCUCACCUCCCUUCCUCUCAAUAACAAGUCGCCGUCGGUGGACAAUUCCCAACCCCUCUCUUCCUAACUAAGCUGAAAGCUAUAACUUCAAACGUUCCCAUAGUUCCUUGGAUUCCUUCUCCCUAACCCACGCGCCACUCUCCCCAACCCACGCGCCUCCACCACUUCUCUAAUCUGAUAAGAUCUGAACAAGGGUUCCCUUUUUAUGAAUCCAAAGCAUCUGAUGAUAGGGAAGAUAAUAACAACAACAUGGGCGGAGUCACUUCAACAAUUGCCGCGAAGUUCGCUUUCUUCCCACCAAACCCAGCUUCUUAUACGGUGGUAACUGAUGACUCUUCCUCCGCCGUGUCUGGAGGCUCCACCACCAGGCUGUAUAUACCCGAGGUGCCGAGGAAGGAUGACGUGGAUGUGCUGAAGUUGAGGACUCGGCGUGGAAAUGAAAUCGUGGCUGUUCAUAUUAAACAUCCAAGAGCUUCAGCUACUUUGCUGUAUUCUCAUGGAAAUGCUGCUGAUUUGGGUCAAAUGUUUGAGCUUUUUGUUGAAUUGAGCAAUCGCCUUCGCAUUAAUCUUAUGGGGUUAGAUCCUUAACUCUUUACCUUUUGAAGUAUUUUUCUUUUAAUAUUAUUGUUUGGUUUGGUUUGGUUUGUUUAGUUCUACUAAUUGAAAGUAUGGAACUUUAUGAGUGUUGGUUUGGUUGAUUUGGUGGGCUGGUGCAUUUUUAUUGGAUUUAUUGCUCUUCUGUAAUUUAUUGAUUAAGCGUAUGGGAGAGGCUUUCCAUGUAUAGUUUUGUUGUUUGAUGGAGAAAAGGUCUGUUUUUUAAUGUUUAUUGUUGAGUUUGAGGGUUGGCUCUUUAGUAGUGAACUUUGUGGUUGCGACAAGGAAGUAACGUAUGACUGCGGUGAGGGUAACGUUUACUCAACUGGUAUUGAAAGUGAGUUUGGGAACUCUAAUGGUGGAAAGAGAGGUUUAGGUGUGGGUUUUUUUCCUACAAGUCUGCAAUUUCCAUUUUGAGUAUUACCCAUUUGUUGGGAUUUGGGAGAGUUUGUUGAAAAUUAAAUACUAGUUUUAGCAAGGAUGGAAGCCAAGUUAUCGUUAGGGCAGUUGCAAACCCUGAAGUGAAUUGGGUCAGUCUUUAAUGUAGAUAUGCCUUUUUUCUGUCUUCUCUUAAAACCGUUGAUACAAAAUCACUGCUCUCACUGGCAUAUCUGAAAUCGAAUGAUGUUCAUGGCAGUAAGAAUGGUCUUUAAAGGUAGAUUUUAGGUUUUAACUUGACAUGGUUUAGUUUCAAAAUCACCAUUGGAAUGGUUUUUUUACCUUUCAGGAUAUGCCUUACAGAAGCAAUGUAGAAGUUAUGGUAUUUACUUGGCUACGCCACAUGAUAACUAGUGUACUUGUUCCUGUUGUAAUUUAAUGGAGAAAUAUAGGCGAAUAAUAACCUCAUAAUCUCUUAAAAAUUCAGAAGUGAUGCAAAGACAAAAGAAAAAAAAGUAUUCAUAUUCUUUAUAAAUCAUGUUCUUUUCAUUUCCUUUUUAAUUUUAUGUUACUGUUGUUUAUUUUCAGGUUAGUUUUUAAUAUUGAAUUUAUGUUUUUGUUUUUUCCAGAUAUGAUUACUCUGGCUACGGGCAAUCAAGCGGAAAGGUUUAUACCAGCUUUCCUAUUCCUGGUUGCUAAUGAUCAGAAGAAAGUUUUAGGCUCUGCUCGAGCUUUAACAAUUUCAUAUUUCCUUGUGGAUGUCUUUUUCUCAUGCAUGCUUAGAUAUCCUUGUUUCAGAACUUAGAUAUUCAAAUUCAAACAUGAAACAUGCAGAAGUUCCCCUUAUGCUUUUGAUUUGCAUAUUUUUCCCUCUUCAUCCAUAAAGCAAGAAUUAUAUGUUAAUUAUUACCUUGUUCAUUCUAUUUUACAUCUUCAAAAUUGUCUAUUAAUCAAGGACCUACUUGGCAUUAUGUGUAGUUUCUCAAUUGGUUAGUGUUGUUUGCUUGUAAUAUGUGGCAUUGCUCUCAACAUAUGCCACCUUUCUUUUGAAACAGCCAACUGAAUGUAACACAUAUGCGGACAUAGACGCGGCAUAUAAAUGCCUCAAGGAGCAGUAUGGGGUUAAAGAUGAUCAACUAAUAUUGUAUGGCCAGUCUGUUGGUAGUGGUCCCACAGUUGAUCUUGCUUCACGUUUACCAAACUUGAGAGGUGUGGUUCUGCAUAGCCCAAUAUUGUCUGGGAUGAGGGUAUUGUACCCAGUCAAAAGGACUUACUGGUUUGACAUUUACAAGGUUUUUUUUGUGGUGUUGAUUCUAUUAAAUAUGCCUGUUUAAUUCUCUGUGCGAGCACUUAAGUUACUUUCUCCUUUCAGAACAUUGACAAAAUUGGUAUGGUGAACUGUCGUGUUCUCAUAAUUCAUGUAAGUAUUAUUUCCCCGUCUUCAAUUUCUUUGAGCUGUUCAGUCUCUCUUUGGGACAUUAUUUUAUGCAUUGCAUGAGUUGUUGGCUAAAGUGAAAGAUGCAGGUCUUAUGGUUUUGAUAUUUCUUGUGCUAGAAUACAAAUUUUCAGACUAUCAUUGGAAAAAUUAAUAGCUGUGUAACCUCUAGAGAUAUGAAUACAGGAAUUCCUUAGCAUCACAGUUUCACUGGAAGCUUUCAACAGGAUGUAACUAUGGUUGCAGUCAUAACUCAUAAACCAAGCAAAUAAUACGAGGAAAGAGUCUUAAUAGCAACUGCUAGCCUGUAUUCAGUGUCAACCUAAUUCAAUUUGGUUGUUAACAAUUGAGCUUUUCCUAUACCAUUGAUAAUAUGAUUUAAUUAAUAAAAAGCCCAAGACGGAGUAAAAUUACAAAAAAAAGAAGGUCUCUUUAAACCUUAUUUUUUAAUUAUUCAUUUGCUAAGGGUGUAAAGGUGGCCUGAUUGACUUCCUUGGAUAUGUAGUUUGCAAUAAACUGCUUUGACAUUUGGGUAAUCAUGUACUUGCUUAACCUGGAUAGUUUUGCACAGACAAGUUCAAUUUAUAUUUUAUUUUUGUUUCUAUAAAUCAGAAGGAUAAAACAAAAUGUUAAUAUUUGUUGAUCCUCCAUUUGGUUGCUAGAGUUUUUUGUUAUAUUGUUCAAUUUGCAGUUAUCUGUAUGUACAAUCAUAGUUAAUAGUCAGAGAUUUAUGGCUCAUCACUCUUAAAAUAUCGUUUAUGGAAAUUAGAGAUAAAAUCACAUUGGAUAUAAGGGAUUUUAAUAUAUUUUUUUUAACUUCAGGGAACAUCAGAUGAAGUGGUUGAUUGCUCUCACGGGAAACAACUUUGGGAGCUUUGCAAAGAGAAAUAUGAACCAUUGUGGAUCAAUGGAGGUGGGCAUUGCAAUCUUGAGCUUUACCCAGAAUUUAUCAAACAUCUGAAGAAGUUUGUUUUGACCAUAGGCAAAUCAAAAACAGCUACAAACGGUCCUAAAACAACAGCAGAGUCUGAAAAUCAGAACAAACCAUCUGAGAGUGCAAGUUCAGACACUUUUGAACUGGGUGACCUUCCUGAAAUCUCUAGAAAUAGCUUAGAUAGUAGGCUUGAGAAGUCUAAGAAGCCAAAUAAGCCUGAAAAGUCUCGGAUGAGCACUGACCGUGUUGAUAGAUUUAGAAGAAGAAAAGGCUUGGUCUGGUGAUUAUUUAUGCCAAGAGCUUCAUAAAUAAAAUACAUGCAUUGGUUGACUUGAGAAGGUAAUUUAAUUUCACCCCUGCUUUGUAAUGUGCAUUGAGUCUAGUACAAAUUAUUAGAUUGAGUGUAAUUUUCCAUAUAAAUGUUGUAUCUGUACGAAUGCUUAGAACGUGAGUCAAAUUAAGCGAAAUCUUGUAUUUUAACUCUGAGCUGUUCAUUUGAAGAUAAAAUCAUGUAUUCGCAACUAUCACGUGUAGCCAUUUUUCGUUUUUCCUUCUCUGUAGAUUUGAGAAAGUUUUAUAUGCUUAUCUGGUGCUGACCAUUUUCUUUCUUGGUCAUGAUUUACAUCAACAAACUAGAAACGUUUAUGUUUUUGCUUUUUGGAUUCUUCAACUCAGAUUUGUGAAACGUUCUGCAUGUUGCUGGACAUCCUGAGUGAUUUUGAUAUCAGGGCAUUUAGUACAUCCAGGAAAGAAUCGAAAGAUUUCCUGUUUUUCUUCUUCUUUGGGAUAUGUUUCAAGGACAGUGACAUCCUUGCUCUGCAAAGCAGAGUCAAAGAAUAUGCUUAUCAACAGUGCGUUAAACUUCUUUCACCAUGUCGAGCUAUGUGUCCCCGUUCUCCAUUUCUCAUUUCUCUUUGAACCAAAAUUUUAUACUGUCCUCAAAGUUUCCACUGAACAUUCAAGCAGGUCAAACCUAUUUUUUACUGGUAGCCAUACUCUUCAUUUCUUGGCAGCUUGUGUUUUUGUGAAGUAAUGAAUUAAGUUUUUGUCUUUUUGAACUGCAAUGAACACCUCCGUUGGUAUGAAAGUCAGAUGAAAGGAAUACAAGUCAGUCAAGGGAGGGUUUAUUGACCAACCAAUUAAAAGAACAAUGCGCCUCGCAAACACUAGCUGCUCUGGUUACCAGUCUGCGGAACAAUUUGCAUAUUGACAAAUGAGGGAGACAUAGUGCCAUCUAUGGGCUGCUGGACUAAAAUGGAGGAGUCUAAUUUGUAAAAAUCACUGGAGAUGUUCAGGCAACUGAAAUAAAAACUCUAGAGGCUUCAAUCAAAAAGUCUCUCGUACUCAAUUCCGUAGACAAUUGCUACCCAUGCAUAUUGGUACUAUGUUGAGGGCACAGAAAGAUGCAACCGUGUUCAUCUUGAUCUUAGCUCUUAGCUAAAUGCAGAGCUUUGAUUCUCUCCAAAGGCACGAGCAGCUCUUCCUGCUAGGGUUCUUCUUGAGUGAUGAAGGCACUAAGAGAUUUCAAAAUCAUAAAGUGCCAUGCAGUAUAGCAGGUAGAGUCCUCCCGCUAUCGGAUUGAAGCUUCUUACUUUAGACCUAGUCAUGCUACAUGUUCACUCAGUAUUUUACUUUUCAACGGAUUCACGUGUGGAAUUCUAUUAUUCAUGAGUGGAAUUCAGUACGGCGUGAAAAAGAAAAAGAAUUGAGGUCCAUUUUUCUCCAAUAUCUACAGAUUGUCCCUGUAACCUCUCUCCAUCUCCGAAAUGCAAUGCCAUCAUUUUAUUUGGUUAGUUUUUUAGAAUUAAUUUCCCAAACUAUGCGAGGAUUUUUUUGCGUGUCCUUUAAUAUAUUUGACCGAUUCUGUUCUCUUCUUUUAGUCCCCAAGACAGUGAUGCAUCAUAGCAUACGAAGACUUCAUUUUGCAAAUAGAGGCCUCGUUGAAAGAAAUUAGUGUGGUAGCCCUUUCCCAAGAAACAAAUAAAUUAAAAACUUCCACCAAGCAUUUAAAUCCAAGUAUUGCGUUCACAUCUAUCCCUUUCUGAUGUAUUUAUUUACCUGAAAUUGAUAAUUAGCACGUCAAGACUCAUCUCUUUAUCCUCGAAACAACCACGCCCAUUUUGCUAGCACACAAUUCCAUUUCUCCUAUGCUACUUCCUCUUGCCAGAAUGAAUUCCUCGGCCUUUUCUUUUCUUUCAGAUUUUGUUCUUGUAUUGUUGCUCUUCAUUCAAGUCCCUUCAUCCUCGAGCAACGAUGACCUGUUCACUGCCUGUAGUAAAAAGUUUGUAUGUGGGGAUAUCUCCGCGGGUUUUCCAUUCUGGGGAAAUGACAGACCACGUGCCUGUGGCCUUCCUGAAUUGGAGCUCAGGUGUGAGAAUAAUGAGAUCGCCAAGAUGAAUAUCAGUCAGGUUGCAUAUCGUGUUUUGGAAAUCAAUCCGGAAAAGGGAUUUCUCAGGAUUGCAAGAGAGGACUACUCGGUUGGAUUGUGUCCACCUCACUUUAUGAACUGCACGUUCAAUCCUAAGGUUUUCGAGUCUGAUAUUGAGGGUUACAAAAAUCUUACAAUCUUUUACGGUUGCAAGGAUGCUGCAACCAUACCUGCAGGUACAAUACCUUUCACUUGCAAAAUAAAUGAGGUUAAUGAUCAACGUGGUUAUCUCCAAUUAGAAGGAGAUAAUGGUCCAGGGGAAUGCAAUCGUAGUGUCUUAGUGCCCGUUUCGACAACAGAUAUUUGGCCACCAAUCAAGGAUCUGCCAGGUUGGGAAGAACUCCUGAGAAAAGGAUUUGAGGUAAGAUGGAAGGUCGAUUGGGAGGCGUGUUCGGAAUGCUUCAGGUCUUUAGGAGUUUGUGGUAUUGACAAAGUAAAUCAAACAACUUGUUACUGUCCAAAUCAAUCAAGAGGAUCAAAAACAUGUCCUCCUCCAGCUCGAGGUAUGUACCUCAACUUCUCCUCGAAUCAGUUGAUGAUGAACUCCAGUCACUUGUUGAUGCUUCACACACCUUAAUUAGUUCCGUUCCUGUUUUGUUAUUUUAAUUUUAUUUUAAUUAGACUUGGACAGAAGUAAACAUCAAUAUGAUGACUUGGACAGAUGUGUUUGUUAAUUGAGUGUUGAGUUGCCACCAACCAAUAGCUUACCAACAAAAAAAAAAAUAAAGAAUUAAUUGUUAUAGGCAUCAAAGAAAUAAAGAUUUAAGAGACACAUUAAAGUCUAAGCAUUUAACAUGUUACUAAUUUAGAAAUUUUAAUUCAGGUUUAGGAGAUUUUAUUUUAUUUUUAUUUUAUUUUAUUUUUUAAUAUUUUUAAAACUUAUAUUUUUUUAGUUUUAUUUUUUAAUAUUUGAUUUAAUUAGAUAUUAAACUUCAUAAUUUAUUUAUUUAUUUUAUAUAUAAUUUUUCAUUUAUUUUAAAAAUAAAUAGAUGGUAUAUUUUUUCUGUAACAUAAUAAAUAGUUAAAGGAAAAGGAAAAGAGACUGUGAUUGCAUGCGGAAGAAUCUCAUCCAAUAAACAAUCUAAUCAAUAAUGAUAUUUUCAGUUGGGAUUACCAAAUCUAAUCAACAUAAAAUUCAAUUUUCAAUAAAUAUAAUUUUAAAAGAUAUAAUUAAAAUUAAAAAUAAUAUUGUUUAAAAAAAUAAUAUUUUAUAAAAAGAGAUACAAUAAAAUACCUUUUCGUUUAGUAAAGUCAAGUGAGGCCUUGUCUCUGUCACUGAAACCCAAUGUCACGCAAUCGAUUUCAACCUUCUAUUUAAUUUGAUUUGAUUUAAUUUAAUUUAUAUACCUCUAUUUCUUUGUUGACUAGCCCAGUCCAUACUCAAAGUGCGUUUUUUUAUUGGUCGCAUGUGGGGAUAUCACAGGACAUUUUACUUACAUGACCGUAGCUUUAAAACAAAUAAUUCAAUUUUACGGACGUUAUUAAUUAGUUUCUUUGGAUCGGAUAAAAAUGUUUUUGAAUAUAAAAAAAAUUCUCAAGCCACGUCGAAGUGACAUUGUUAUCAGUGCGGCUGGGUUUCUUUUUUCUUAGUUUUUUCCCCUAUGUUUUUGUACUUUUUUUUCAAGUUCAUAGUUAGAUUAAAAUUAUUUUUUAUUAUUAGGUUGAUAAUAAAUUAUUUUUUAUAGUUUUUAUCAUAAAAUAAAAUAAAAAAUUAAAUUGACAAAGUUGAGUUCAUAAUCUUAUUUACGGGUUUGAUAUGUUAGACUAAACAUUAAUAAAAAAGUCGGGGUUAGGGUUUUUUGACACUUUUUUUUAUAUAUAUCUUUAGGGUUUUUUUUUGUCAUUUUUAUUAUUUAAUGUGAGGUUUUAUUAAAUUUUAUCAUUUAAUAUUUGAUUAAUAAUAAAUUAAUCUUGGUAUUUUCAAUUAUAUAAUAAAAUAAAAAUUAAUUCGACUCAAAGAAGUUCAUAACACAAGUCAUGGUUGACAAAUCGACUAAAUAUCAAUAAAAAAAUUGGAUAGGAAUUUUCAACCUCUAAAUGAAUUUAUUGUGUCAUAUAUAUACCAUAUAAAUAAAUCUAAUAAUUAACAUUAUUUGAUGUCCUGUUACAGGAUCUUCUUGGAGUCGUCGGCGACUACAUAUUGCUGUAGGUAAAUAUUAAUUAUCAUAAGAAAUCCAAUCUUUUCAUUUGAUGAUGAUGGUAUUGAUAAUAAUGCAUCUUAAAUUACAGGCAUAUCAACAACUAUGGCAACGAUAAUAACUUUUUCUAUAAUUAUAAUAUGUCUCACUAGAAGAAAAGGUUCAUUUAGUGCCGUCAUAGCAAAGUUCGCCAGGCUGAAGAAUUCGCAACAUGUUGAAAGUGUUGAAACAUUUAUGAUGGACUACCAUUCUCUUACUCCAAAGCGUUAUUCAUAUUCAGAUAUCAAGAAAAUAACCAACUCAUUCGUCAAUAUACUAGGUCAGGGGGGAUUUGGUUAUGUAUACAAAGGAAAGUUACCAGACGGUAGUCUCGCGGCUAUAAAAGUUUUGAAAGAGUCCAAAGGUGAUGGAGAAGAGUUCAUGAAUGAAGUUGCAAGCAUCAGUAGAACUUCCCACGUGAAUGUAGUUACCCUUUUGGGUUUCUGCUUCGAGAGGAAUAAAAGAGCUUUGAUUUAUGAAUUCAUGCCCAAUGGAUCUUUAGAUAGCUUUAUAUUUGAUAAAGGAUCCCCACAUACAAACUGUCGUUUAGAAUGGAAAAAAUUAUAUGAAAUUGCAGUUGGCAUUGCUAGAGGUCUAGAGUACUUGCAUAGAGGUUGUAACACUCGGAUCGUGCAUUUUGACAUAAAGCCUCAAAACAUUCUUCUUGAUGACGACUUUUGUCCAAAGAUCUCAGAUUUUGGUCUCGCGAAGCUAUGCCAGACCAAAGUAAGUAAGAUUUCGAUGAUAGGUGCAAGAGGGACUGCUGGUUACAUAGCACCUGAAGUAUUCUGCAGAUCUUUUGGAGGAGUAACUUACAAGUCUGAUGUGUAUAGUUAUGGAAUGAUGGUUCUUGAAAUGGUGGGGCAAAGGAAAGACUUUGAUAUGGGAUCUUUGGAAACCAACGAGAUGUAUUUCCCGGAUUGGUUUUAUAUGUAUCUUGAACCAGGAAAGAUUUCAACACUUCAUGGAGGUACAACGGAAGAGGAAGAAGAGAUUGUUGAAAAGAUGAUUUUAGUGGGUCUGUGGUGCAUCCAAACCAUUCCAUCACAUAGACCAUCAAUGACAAAGGUUGUAGAGAUGUUUGAAGGCAGUCUUCAGUCUUUGCAAAUUCCACCGAGACCUUCCCUUUCCUCUCCUAGAAGGUCCGCUCAAGAUCACUCUUCCAUUGUUUCGUCACUACCUUGUGUGUCAUCCCAGGAGGGUGGGGGAAACAUAUUGUCUGCAGAUGAUAGUGACUUGUAACUGGAAAUUGCAAAUUUUAUCUAGCCUGAAAAAAAAAAAAACUUGUAUUUGUUCUUCAUCUAAUUGCUGCUCUUGGUUGAAUUAAUUUUUCUAUGAUAUAACUCAUGCACGGGAGGAAACUCUCACAGUGCUGGUAAGAGACACUAUCCUCUCACCUUUAUUUUUUUUUUGGUCCGUGAUGUUAACAAAUUCUAGUAUGUACUUGAUGUUGAAUAUGUGGGAAGUGUAGAAUUGAUCUGUUCCUGCUUGUCAUUGUUUACAAUUUCAAAGGGUAGACAAGACUCAGAGGUUGAGCUUAUUAUUAAUUACUUGUGGUUAAGGUCUCUGUAGUUUAACAGAUAGCAGGUGGAAGAAUGGUCGAAAAUGGAAGGCUUCUAAUUUUCCUCUUAAGAAUGUUAGGAUACUGGCAUGCAAACCCGACAAGACAAAAGGUAAAGGAUAUGAUAAAAUGAGAAAUGACACACACAAGAAUUUACGUGGUUCACCCAAUUAGGCUACGUCCACGGGCAAGUAUAGAAGGAUUUUACUAAGUAAUGUGAGAAUUACAACCUCUCUCAAAUAAUAGGAGAACAACUAAGAAUCUCUCUAUUACUAGGAGAAAACACCUCACUUACUCUCUCACAAAUACCUCACAACUUUGUGGGAUUAUUUUCCUUCUUCACUCUCCUCUUCCUCUCUUGUUUCUCUCUUAUGGUGUGUUUACAAUGCUUGGAUGCAUUGCCUAUUUAUAGGCAAACAUCCAUGCAAAUACAAGGGGCAAGGCAAGUGUCACAAGUUUGGUGCCUACAAUUUGUGACUAAGGAAGGAUGGCUUUACCACCAUUGUUGACUCCCACCAUUGUUGACUUAGGUGGUUGGUUUCACAUUCUCCCACUUGAAAACUUUGAUGAUUGAAUCAAGUCUUCACACUUCAUCAGUUGUGAUUCUUCUAUCCUUUCAAUACUUGCUAUCUUCAUGCUGCUUACGUUUCUGCUAGGCCACAAGAGGAUCUGCACCAUAUAUACUUAUCAGUGUUGACUGGUUUGGUUAAAGCAUCUGUUGGGUUUUCCUUUGUGUGAACCUUCUGAAAAUCCACACUUCCAUCUUCCACCACUUCGCGAACAAAGUGAUACUGAACAUCUAUAUGUUUUGUUCUUGAAUGAAACGCUAGAUUCCUUGCAAUAUGCAAGGCACUCUAACUAUCACAAUACAAAAGAAUCUUCUCUUGUUUGUGCCCAAGCUCCUCCAUAAGUUUCUUCAGCCAUAUUGCUUCUUUACAAGCCUGUGUAGCUGCCAUAUACUCAGCUUCUGUUGUGGAUAACGCUACAACAGUCUGAAGUUUAGAGACCCAGCUCACAACUCCUCCUACAAUUAUAAACACAUAGCCUGUAGUGGAUUUUCUUUUCUCAAGGUCACCAGCAAAAUCUGAGUCAACAUAAUCUCUGAUAGUAAAUUCUGAUCCUCCAUAACAUAAUGUGGCAUCUGAGGUACCCUUGAUGUAUCUCAAGAUCCUCUUAAUAGUAUUCCAAUGCUCUCUACCAGGAUUUGCCAUGUAUCGACUAGCUGCUCCCACUGCUUGUGCAAUGUCUGGUCUUGUACAUAUCAUGGCAAACAUUAAACUUCCCACUGCUGAUGCAUACGGUACUCGAGACAUCUCCAUCCUCUCUGCUUCAUUGCUAGGAGACAUACUUGAGGAUAAUUUGAAGUUAACAGGAAGUGGGGUGGAAAUUGGCUUACAAUCUUGCAUGUUGAAGCGUCGCAAGAUCUUCUUUAAAUAAUUCUUUUGAGAAAGCCAAAUCUUCCUUUUACUUCUGUCUCAGUGAAUUUGCAUCCCUAGAAUCUUGUUUGUUGGUCCCAAGUCUUUCAUAUCAAACUCCCUAGCCAACUGUGCCUUCAAUUCUUGGACUCGAUCUUUGUUGGGGCCUAUUACCAACAUGUCAUCCACGUACAACAACAGAAUGAUGAAAACAUCAUUUUCUUCAAACCUCUUGUAAUACGUACAAUGGUCUGAACUGAGUCUGUUGUACCCAAGGCUAAUUAUGAAGGAAUCAAAUCUCUUGUACCAACACCUCGGCGCCUGUUUGAGACCGUAUAGAGAUUUGUUCAACCUGCAAACCAAGUUCUCCUUGCCUGUUUCAGCAAAACCCUCUGGUUGGAGCAUAUAAAUUUCUUCUUCAAGUUCUCCAUGAAGAAAUGCAGUUUUCACAUCUAACUGCUCUAAGUGAAGAUCAAAUAUAGCACACAUCGCCAAGACUACUCUGAUUGUAGUAAGUCGUACCACCGGAGAAAAUAUCUCAUUAAAGUCUAUUCCUUCUUUCUGAGCAUAUCCUUUCACCACCAAUCUUGCACGAUACCGCUCCACUUGAUCAUUGCCAUCACGCUUUAUCUUGUAAACCCAUUUGUUGCCAAUGGCCUUUCUUCCUUGUGGUAGCGGAACAAGAUCCCAAGUGUUAUUCUUGUGCAGAGCUUCAAUCUCCUCUUGCAUUGCUGUCAUCCACAUAGAUACAUCUGUGCUUUUGAUAGCCUCAUGGAAAGUUGAUGGCUCUCCAUCCUCUGUUAGAAGACAGUAUGCAAUAUUGCUCUCAGUAACAUAUUCUGAGUGCCAAGCCGGUGGUCUUCUUUCACGAGUUGACCGUCGAACUUCAGGAGUUUCAGACUCUAUUUGUUCUUGUUCUUCAUGCUCUGGUGCAGCUUCAGAAGAAGUAUGAUUCUGAGUAUUUUCCAUCUGGACUUCUGUAGUCUCCUUUAAAAUGCUAUUAUUUUCUUCCAUUUGCAUUUUAUCUUCUGCAAAUAUGACAUCUCUGCUGAUGACUACCUUGUGGGCAGUGGGAUCCCACAAGCGAUACCCCUUCACUCCAUCAGCAUAUCCCAAGAAUACACAUUUUCUGGAUUUUGAAUCCAGCUUGCUGACCUCUUGAGUAUUGUACAUCACGUACACAGGACUUCCAAAUAUAUGCAAUCGAGAAUAAUCAGCUGGCUUUCCAGUCCACAUCUCCAUCGGUGUCUUCAACUCAAUUGCAGUAGACGGAGAUCGAUUUAUUACAUAACAGGCGGUAUUGACUGCUUCUGCCCAGAAUGACUUUUCUAGACCUGCAGCCUUCAACAUUGCUCUUGUUCUUUCCAAUAGAGUUCUGUUCAUCCGCUCUGCCACUCCAUUUUGUUGUGGAGUGUAUGCCGUUGUGAACUGCCUUUUGAUACCUUCAUGUUGACAGAAGUUAUCAAAUUCAUCACUGGUAUAUUCUCCUCCAUUGUCAGUCCUCAAACACUUGAUCUUCUUUUCAGAUUCAAGUUCUACCCGCGCUUUGAAGGUUUUAAAAACUGCGAACACAUCUGCCUUCCUUCUAAUCGGAUACACCCAACAUCUCCUGGAGAAGUCAUCUAUGAAUGAUACAAAGUAUCUUGCUCCUCCCAAGGAUACAACCGGUGCUUGCCAAACAUCAGAGUGAAUCAGGUCUAAGAUGCAUUUGCUCUUAGUUGUUGACGUGCCAAACUUCAACCUGUGUUGUUUACUUGUAACACAGUGCUCACAAAAAGGUAAAGUAACCUUUGUAAGCCCAGGGAGUAACUUCUGAUCAGAGAGAACCUUUAAACCUUUCUCUGACAUGUGGCCUAGUUUUUGAUGCCACAUCAUCGUCUUCUCUUCUGCAGGACUGGCUGAUGCGAUUGAUGCUUCUGCCCCUGAUGUGUUUCUCCCAUUAAUACAAACAUGUUUGCAACUGUCUUUCUUGCCUUUAAAACCACCAGCGCGCCUUUGACAAUUUUCAUGAUUCCAUUGUCUGUUCGGAUCUUACAGCCAAGACUAUCAAAUUGUCCUACGGACAAAAGAUUCUUCUUUAAGUCUUUCACAUGUCGCACUCCUGAAAUAGUACGAAUUAAGCCAUCAUACAUCUUCAAUUUGAUGGUGCCAAUGCCAGAAAUCUCUACAGCAUGAUUAUCACCCAUGAACACUGUGCCUCCAGAGAUAGGUUCAUAUGUAUGGAACCAAUCUCGUCUAGGGGUCAUAUGCCAUGUUGCUCCUGAAUCCAUUAGCCAGACCUCAGUGAGCUCUUCUCUAUCUGUAGAGAUUGUUGCUGCUUCACUAUAUAGAACCUCUCCAUCUUCUGAGGUGCUUGCAACACAUCCUUGAGGUUUUGAUGACUCUGCAGUAUUCUCUAUACCCUUUUUAAACCAACAGUCCUUUUUGAAGUGCCCUUUUCUGCCACAGUUGUAGCAUUUCACCAUCUUCUUACUUCUUGAUUUGGACCUCCCCUGCCUUUGACUCCCACUGGAGCCACGUUCCGUUGAUCUUCCUCUUGACACCAACAAUGCCUCAGCUUGGUUUGAACUGUUUCUGUCUCCUUUGUUUUUGCGCCUAUUUUCUUCUUCCAAGAUAGCAGCUGCAACAUCAUCGAAGACUAAAUAGUCUGAGAGGAUAUUAUUGGUCAAGUUGAUAAUGAGCUGAUCAUACGAAUCAGGAAGACUUUGAAGUAGAAGCUCUGCACGUUCAUUUUCCUCUAUUUGUUGACCCAAUAGUGAGUUGUGAAAAUAGAGUUCUUAUUGUGUUGAUGUGGUCAGUCACCGACGUGGUUUCUGCCAUUCGAAGGGUAUAAAGUCUCCGCUUUAAGAAAAUCUUAUUGUGCAAAGACUUGGACUCGUAUAGCUUUUUAGAGUCUCCCAUAUCUCCUUAGCUGUUUUCUUCUCCGCCACACUUGAUAAUACUUCAUCAGCUAAUGCUAAAUGUAUGUUAGCAAUAGCAUUGCCAUCCAUCUCAUUCCAUUUUGCAUUAUCAGUGAUCUCCGCGGGCCGAUCCCCAAUUGCUGCCAAGCAAUUGUCUUUCCUCAAGAUUGCCUUGAUUCUCAUUUUCCACAGUGAGAAAUUGCUCCCCUUGAACCUCUCAAUCUCGUACUUUGCUGCCAUUGUAUUCACCGAGAUCUAUUCAGCUAUCACCGUUUCACAGAUCUGUAACGUAUAUAGAAAUAGUAUCGUGUGAAUAAUACUUCACUAAGUAAGUUCCCAGGAAAGAUUGGAGGGGUCACAAACGGUCCCGCUUAAAACCCAAUCUUCUUAGACAGAACUUCCUAGACUGUAUUUAAUCACCGCAUUGGCUUUCUAUAUACGCCAACAGUAACGUAAGUGAACAAUACCGUAUGGAUGAAUAGUGCCGUAUAGGUGAAUAGUGCCGUAGACGUGAAUGGUGACCGUAUACACGAAUAACUUUUGUGUGUUAACAACACUAACCAAAAAGGCUCUGAUACCACUGUUAGGAUACUAGCAUGCAAACCCGACAAGACAAAAGGUAAAGGAUAGGAUAAAAUGAGAAAUGACACACACAAGAAUUUACGUGGUUCACCCAAUUAGGCUACGUCCACGGGCAAGUAUAGAAGGAUUUUACUAAGUAAUGUGAGAAUUACAACCUCUCUCAAAUAAUAUGAGAACAACUAAGAAUCUCUCUAUUACUAGGAGAAAACACCUCACUUACUCUCUCACAAAUACCUCACAACUUUGUGGGAUUAUUUUCCUUCUUCACUCUCCUCUUCCUCUCUUCUUGUUUCUCUCUUAUGGUGUGUUUACAAUGCUUGGAUGCAUUGCCUAUUUAUAGGCAAACAUCCAUGCAAAUACAAGGGGCAAGGCAAGUGUCACAAGUUUGGUGCCUACAAUUUGUGACUAAGGAAGGAUGGCUUUACCACCAUUGUUGACUUAGGUGGUUGGUUUCACAAAGAAAACUACAGAGACCUUUAGGUUACCAAUCUGGUCAUGAAAUGAAUGUGGGAUGCUCUAGGUUUUCUUCUACUAGUAGCUUGACCACUAUGGAGCUUCUCACCCUAGAACAAGUCACACAACGUAUUUGGUAACCAUUUUAUAAUACUAUGUGAUGAGUGGCCUUUUAAUGUCUACUUGAUUAUGACAAAAAAAAGGUCAAUUUGCUCUAACACCUGCAAAUUGUCCCCGUAUUCUCUCUUUAUCCGUGAAAAUGCAAUCCCAGCUCUUUACAGCCAUGUCUUUGUUCAUCAUAAUCAUAACAAUAACCUUUGUCUUUGUCAUCUCUUACCCGUCAUUGUUUAUAGCUUCAAAUUAAUUUAGACAAGAAGACAUGGAGUUUAAGGUUUAUUAUCACUCAUGAUCAAUGCAUAUAUCAGCGAGGAUAAUUAAGUUUUCACAUGGUUUAAUUCCUGUCAUAUCUGAUAUUCUGUUCUGCUGCAUCUGUGCGAAUCCUCACUUUUUUUUCUGCCUCUACUGUAAAUGCUGCAUUUCUACAGUUAAUCCGUCACUGCAUAUCUGCCAUUCUGUUAUCUCAAGGCUGUUUUUAUGCUAGUUCACAAUUCUCUUCUGCAAUAAUCCAAGUCAUGUAAUUUAUGAAACUAUAACCUUUUUUGCUAUUUUUAAACAAAUCAAAGAACUUCCUUAACGUGGUUGAAAUUGUGUAUUAGACCUGUCGAGAACUAAUAGGUGAUGAAUUCUAUCAAUUAAAAAUAAAAAACUUUGUCAGGAUUCCAUGGAUGACGUUUGGAUAAAUGAAAGAAGCACAAGUAGUACCAAGAACAAAUAAAAAACGUUCGCUGUCAGGCUCAGCAGCAUUAGAAAAGAGAGUAAUCUGCUUGUUUUUAGCAGUAAUAUCAUUUAAGAUGAGUAAAACCCAAGAUAAAAAGAAAAAAGAAAAAAAGAGCAGCACAGAGUAGCAUCAGUGAGAAAGGAAAUACAGCAAAAACGUAAACAGUGAAGAAUCAAGCAAGCCGAAUUAGUUGCAGCAAUAACAGGUUCUUAAGUAACUGCUACAUGUGUCGGGAUUUAUUAUCUCCGUAAAUUUGGAGAACCAAAUCAUUAAAUUUUCCGUGUUUCGUGUCAUUUGAUAAGAUGACACCAGAAAGAGACUUUUCUUUUUUCCACCAGGAGCAAUACCAAGUGGCUCUGAUAGCAUCAUCCAUGCCAUUAGCAGAAUUGUACUUUAAUCAAGUCAAUUCUUACAUAAAAACCAACAUUUUAUUGUUCUUCUUUUGACUGAAUAUUUAAGGAUUGUUGACCUGAAUUCUGAUCAGGUGGCUGGUUUGAAUCCAUUGCUUUCACACAACGCCAAUGUAUGAGCUCUCAUAUUAAAAUGUGUUUUUUAAGUGAAUUUGUGGAGAUUUUUAUUGUUUGAUUCGUUUUUAUCGGCUUACCACGAAUUCCAUCAACAAACUAUCUGCUACGCUUGUAGUCAACAAAGGAAGAGUGAUUUUUCCUUCCCAGUAAAUUGGUGAGCCAAGUUCUAGGAUAGGAAUGGCAAGACAGGAAUCUGAGUUGUCAGAUUGAAUGAAAAGAACAUUUUGCUAUACACUUGGAAUUCAGUAGACCGGUUCAUAAAACGAUCGCCGAAUUAAGUUGGUAGAAUUACGUUUAUUGUUCAAAUUAUGACUUUCUUUAUGAAGUUUAAUUUAUUGUUUGUCUAGAACUUGAGACCUAUAAAUAGGCUUGGUAUAGUCGCAUUGAUAGUUAUUUCUUAAAGAAUAGAUUUAUAAAAUGUCCACAUAAAUAUAAUAUCUAUGUAAAAAUAAAAAAGAGUUGUGAUAUUUUUAUUAUAUGUAGAUAAAAUGAUCUUUACAAGAAAUAAUCCAAAGAUAUUUGGAGACUUCAAGUAAGCAAUGAGCAAGAAGCUUGAGAUGACGGAUAUUGGUUUUAUAACAUACUACUUAAGGAUUGAGAUCAAGUAAGGAAAAAACGGAAUCUUUGUUAAUUAAAAGAAGUUUGCAAAAGAGAUUCUUGAAAAUUUCAAAAUAAAAGAUUGUAUAAAAGUGAAUACUUCAAUUGAAUAUGAAGUGAAGAUGUCAAAGAACAGUGAAGAAGAUAAAAUAAACUCUACAAUAUUCAAGAGCCUAAUUGGAAGUUUGAGAUACUAGUUACAUUCAAGAAUGGUUGAACCAAGCAAAUAAUACGAGGAAAGAGUCUUAAUAGCAACCUCUAGAGAUAUGAAUACAGGAAAUUCCUUAGCAUCACAGUUUCACUGGAAGCUUUCAACAGGAUGUAACUAUGGUUGCAGUCAUAACUCAUAAACCAAGCAAAUAAUACGAGGAAAGAGUCUUAAUAGCAACUGCUAGCCUGUAUUCAGUGUCAACCUAAUUCAAUUUGGUUGUUAACAAUUGAGCUUUUCCUAUACCAUUGAUAAUAUGAUUUAAUUAAUAAAAAGCCCAAGACGGAGUAAAAUUACAAAAAAUAAAAAGGUCUCUUUAAACCUUAUUUUUUAAUUAUUCAUUUGCUAAGGGCGUAAAGGUGGCCUGAUUGACUUCCUUGGAUGUGUAGUUUGCAAUAAACUGCUUUGACAUUUGGGUAAUCAUGUACUUGCUUAACCUGGAUAGUUUUGCACAGACAAGUUCAAUUUAUAUUUUAUUUUUGUUUCUAUAAAUCAGAAGUAUAAAACAAAAUGUUAAUAUUUGUUGAUCCUCCAUUUGAUUGCUAUAUUUUUUUGUUAUAUUGUUCAAUUUUCAGUUAUCUGUAUGUACAAUCAUAGUUAGUAGUCAGAGAUUUAUGGCUCAUCACUCUUAAAAUAUCGUUUAUGGAAAUUAGAGAUAAAAUCAAAUUGGAUAUAAGGGAUUUUAAUAUUAUUUUUUAACUUCAGGUAACAUCAGAUGAAGUGGUUGAUUGCUCUCACAGCAAAACAACUUUGGGAGCUUUGCAAAGAGAAAUAUGAACCAUUGUGGAUCAAUGGAGGUGGGCAUUGCAAUCUUGAGCUUUACCCAGAAUUUAUCAAACAUCUGAAGAAGUUUGUUUUGACCAUAGGCAAAUAAAAAACAGCUACAAAUGGUCCUAAAACAACAGCAGAGUCUGAAAAUCAGAACAAACCAUCUGAGAGUGCAAGUUCAGACACUUUUGAACUGGGUGACCUUCCUGAAAUCUCUAGAAAUAGCUUAGAUAGUAGGCUUGAGAAGUCUAAGAAGCCAAAUAAGCCUGAAAAGUCUCGGAUGAGCACUGACCGUGUUGAUAGAUUUAGAAGAAGAAAAGGCUUGGUCUGGUGAUUAUUUAUGCCAAGAGCUUCAUAAAUAAAAUACAUGCAUUGGUUGACUUGAGAAGGUAAUUUAAUUUCACCCCUGCUCUGUAAUGUGGAUUGAGUCUAGUACAAAUUAUUAGAUUGAGUGUAAUUUUCCAUAGAAAUGUUGUAUCUGUACGAAUGCUUAGAACGUGAGUCAAAUUAAGCGAAAGCUUGUAUUUUAACUCUGAGCUGUUCAUUUGAAGAUAAAAUCAUGUAUUCGCAACUAUCACGUGUAGCCAUUUUUCGUUUUUCCUUCUCUGUAGAUUUGAGAAAGUUUUAUAUGCUCAUCUGGUGCUGACCAUUUUCUUUCUUGGUCAUGAUUUACAUCAACAAACAAGAAACGUUUAUGUUUAUGUUUUUGGGAUUCUUCAACUCGGAUUUGGGAAACGUUCUGCAUGUUGCUGGACAUCCUGGGUGAUUUUGAUAUCAGGGCAUAUAGAUCAUCCAGGAAAGAAUCGAAAGAUUUCCUGUUUUUCUUCUUUGGGAUAUGUUUCAAGGACAGUAACAUCCUUGCUCUGCAAAGCAGAGUCAAAGAAUAUGUUUAUCAACAGUGCGUUAAACUACUUUCACCAUGUCUAACUAUGUGUCCCCAUUCUCCAUUUCUCAUUUCUCUCUGAACAGAAGUUUUAUACUGUCCUCCAAGCUUCCACUGAACAUUCAAGCAGGUCAAACCUAUUCUUUACUGGUAGCCAUACUCUUCAUUUCUUGGCAGCUUGUGUUUUUGUGAAGUAAUGAAGUAAUUUUCUUCUUCUUUUUGAACUGCAAUCGACACCUCCGGUGGUAUGAAAGUCAGAUGAAAGGUUACAUGUCAGUCAAGGGAGGGAUUAUUGACCAACCAAUUUAAAGAACAAUGCGCCCCGCAAACACUAGCUGCUCUGGUUACCAGUCUGAGGAACAAUUUGCAUAUUGACAAAUGAGGGAGACAUAAGUGCAUCUAUGGGCUGCUGGACUAAAAUGGAGGAGUCUAAUUUGUAAAAAUCACUGGAGAUGUUCAGGCAACUGAAAUACAAACUCUAGAGGCUUCAAUCAAAAAGUCUCGUCAAUUCCGUAGACAAUUGCUACACAUGCAUAUUGGUACUAUGUUGAGGGCACAGAAAGAUGCAACCGUGUUCAUCUUGAUCUUAGCUCUUAGCUAAAUGCAGAGCCUUGAUUCUCUCCAAAGGCACGAGCAUCUCUUCCUGCUAUGGUUCUUCUUGAGUGAUGAAGGCACUAAGAGAUUUCAAAAUCAUAAAGUGCCAUGCAGCAUAGCGCUAUCGGCUGGCAGCUUCUUACUUGAGACCUAGUCAUGCUACAUGUUAACUCAGUAUUUUACUUUUCAACGGAUUCACGUGUGGAAUUCUAUUAUUCAUGAGUGGAAUUCAGUACGGCGGGAAAAAGAAAAAGAAUUGAGGUCCAAUUUUCUCCAAUAUCUACAGAUUGUCCCUGUAACCUCUCUCCAUCUCCGAAAUGCAAUGCCAUCUCUUUCCUACCAAUUCUUGGUUCAUCAUAUUCCUAAUAAUAAUCUUUGUCCAUGCUCCAUCAUCUGCCUUUGCGGAUGAUGAUGAGCGAUAUCUGAGCUGCAUGAAGUCAUAUGAUUGCGGAAAUAUUAAGGGUGUUGGUUAUCCUUUCUCGGGAUCCGAUAGGCCUGAUUACUGUGGCUAUCCCGGGUUUGAGCUCGGUUGCAGCAACCAAGAUCCGGAGAUCACAAUCAUGAAAUUGAGUUACAAACUCCUUGACAUCAAUAAGCAGUCGCGGACUCUCAAUGUUUCUAGAUCAGAUUACACAGCAAAUCUAUGUCCUACUCUCCUUUCCAACACCUCUUUGAAUCCAAACCUCUUUAAUUACACUUCAGAUCAUGGUGAGGUAAAACUGUUCUAUGGUUGCCAUAGUCCAAGAGCAAUCGUGUUGAAGUUCCUGCCCUUCAAUCAGCUAUUGUGCCAAUUCUAGUCAGUCCAACUGUAGCACAGUUGCUUGGAGCUAUUAAUCAAGGUUUUGAGUUGGAGUGGAGUGCAAAUGAUUCAUUAUGUGAUAAAUGCAAAUAUUCUGGUGGUCAGUGUGGGUACAACCAGACCACUACAGCAUUCACUUGUUACUGUGCGGAUCAACCUCAAGAUUUUGAAUGCUCAUCAUCACCACAGGCACCUAGUCAAUCAACAAGUAUGUCCUCUUGCCUGUUAUUAUUGUCUUUUUCCCUAGUCAAUCAACAAGUAUGUCCUCUUAAUCCAAGUUUCUCACCUCAUAUUUUUGUCGGAUCAGGCCUUAGGUGGCACAUAUGACGGUCAUUCUGAACCAUUGACAAUAUUUACGAACACAAACCUAGAACGUCAUAACGUCAGAUGACCUUUAUUUUUAUUUGCAUAAUAUACUAUAUUCUUUGAUUUGUCUUACUAUCUUGCUUGUUAGCUCGCAAACUUGUUAAAUAUACAUCUUUUCAAUAUUAAGUCUUUUCUAUUGAUGAUUUUUUAAUGUUGUUUACUAAGUCACUUGUUAAUUUGCUCAUUGGAGCUUCUUGGAUGUAUAGAAGUUCAGACAGGAAAUGGGGUUUUGGUAUAUUCUUACAAAAUCGAAAAAAAGUUGCUUCUUCGUCCAAGAAAUGGGCAUCGUAUUGUUAUCCUCAGAAUUGUCUAUCCUCUUGGUACAGUACACCAAGAUUGCCGUGAGGCUGUAAAACAGUAAUUAAGAAGGUGCGAGGCCUGAAACAUGGAAGUCAAAUAAACCAAAUACUUGAAACAAUAACAAGGUCACGGAAUGUGACUAUCAAAAUUGCAAAUAAACACUAAAAAUUAAUUUAUCUUGCUAAGAAAAUGACCUGCUGAUUCCCCUAGCCGCCUAAAUCCGCGUUGGUGACACCCUUGCCAUUCAAAUAGAAGCUUCACUUUGACAAAUUUGAAACCCCCACUUGGUCAAUUAAUACCUGUUCCAUUAUAACGGUUGAUUGAAAUAGCUUCCAUCUAUUUUGUUUUUCCAUUUAUCUCAAUGAUAGAGCAAUUUCUCCUCUGAAUCCCUCUCUAAGAGAAAAUGCAACCCCAUGUCUUCCCAGCCAUGUCUUGGUUUAUCACGUUCAUAGCCAUGAUCUUUAUUUGUGGUUCGACACUUGUGUUCGCCAACGACGAUGAGCGAUAUGUAAACUGCAGCAACUCUUUUGAUUGUGGAGAUAUUAAGGGUGUUGGUUAUCCUUUCUGGGGAUCCAAUAGGCCUGAUUACUGUGGCUAUCCGGAGUUGAAGCUCAACUGCAGUGACCAAGAUCUGGAGAUCACAAUCGAGAAAUUGACUUACAAAGUUCUUGGCAUCGAUAACCAGUCACGGAUUCUCAGUGUUGCUCGAAAAGACUAUGCAGAAAACAUCUGUCCGACACUCAUUCUCAACACCACUUGGAUACCCAGUCUAUUGAACUACACAUCCGAUGAUCAGAACCUAACAAUCUACUAUGGUUGCCCCACUCAAGGUGCACCAACUUCACCUUUUGUACCUCAGUUUCCCUGCAACAUAAACGCCACUGAGAUGACGGGCUACUUUACAGCAUUUGCCAACUUGUCGGUUCUUGGAAGCUCUGCUUCUAGCUUGACCAGUUACCUGGCAACGUGCAAAGAUAGCAUUAAAGUUCCAGUACGUGAAUCAGUUUUUCAGCAAAUUUUAAGUACUCCAACUGCAGCACAGCUGCUGGAAGGUCUAAAACAAGGUUUUGGUUUGGAGUGGAAUGCAUCUAAUAACUUAUGCGAUACAUGCAAAUAUUCUGGUGGUCAGUGUGGGUACAACCAGACUACUACAGCAUUUACUUGUUAUUGCAAGGAUCAACCUCGACAAUUCUACUGCCAAGAAUCUCCAACUGAAGCUCAAUCCCCAACUAAUGAUCAAUCCCCAAGUAUGUCCUCUUGCCUGUUAUUAUUUUUUUUCUGCUGGUGUCACCCUAGGAGUAAAUAAGAAAACAGACAACUUAUACUUGGAUUCUGCCCUUUCCAGAACCCAAGAUAUGUCCUCCUCCAAAUUAGGUAGUGGUAGAAGUAGGAUCUUUGCUAAUAGAAAACUGACCUCUUAUCAGUCAAGGAAACCAUGCAUGAAGAGGAUGAGAUAUUAUUGCAUCCAAUCACCCCAGGAAUAGGUGCGAAUCACCAUUCCUGGGCAGCCAUUAGGAAUUAUUCAAAGUUCCAUGAUCCUGAAGAAAACAUCUUCCUUGACCUAUUACUUCCUGUGUAACAAGGAAGCAAGGACUUCAAGUAAUUCACAAAGACUUGGUAACAUGGGAAUUAAUAAAAAAAUUUAUAUUUGUCGACCAAUUCGUUGUCAUUAUAAUUUUUUUUGUAAAAAUAUUUUCUUGCACUUUAAAAAGCGCUGGGUAUUUUCUUUCAUUCUUUGUCUUACUGUUUCUGUGUCCUUUAUUUUUUAGGAAGAAUAUGUUGAAUCCUACAAAAUGAUCUUAUAUAAAGAAAAUAUCUUUAAAAACAGUAUUUAUACACAUCUUGAGUUUUGAUUACUGUUUUUUUUUUCUUUGUUUCUGUUUUUCGUCAUCAUAUCUUUACCAUCAAAACAUAAUUUACCAAAUCAGUAUAGUAUAUAGACUUUAUGCUUUAUACAAAAAAAAAUGAGCUUAGUUAUUUUUCAAGACUUUCAUUAGAUUAUAAUUGUUUUUUGGCACACACUGAAAAGUCAACCUCUAAAUAAAAAGUCACAUACUGAAAAGACAACCUCUAAAUAAAAAAAAUAUUAUUUUUUAUCCUGUGAUAUAAAAAUAAAUCUUUAACAAUACUAUAUUCCACCAUCAUCAAUCACCACCACUUUUUAUAUUAUGACUACUAUUAUUAUUCAAAUCUCAACUCCCACUUCACCAACAAUCACAUCUCAACCACCUUUAUUUUUUAAACACCAAUAAUUAUCUCACCACCACCUUCAUCACCACCAAAUUUUAAAAUUACUUAUAAAAUAUUAGAAAUUUUAUAAAUUAUUUUAUAGAAAUGUUUUUUUUCAAUAUCAUUACUAAUAGUACAAUAAAAAAUAUUUAAUAAUUUUAGAAUUCAUAUAAAUUGCAAAAAAUAAUUUUAAUAUUUUUCCUAAUAUAUUUGUAUUUAAUUUUAAUUAAGUUAAAUUGCCCGACCAAAUAUAUAUCACACCAAUUAAUUUUAGAAACUAAAUAAACAAACUCAUAUUAGGCCUAUAUUAACAAUCACACAUUUUUUUUUUUUAAUUUUAUCAAUACAAUAUAGUUACGGGAAUAAUAAUUAAUUACAAAAUUUAUUUUUAUUUUUCUAGUUAUUAAUAGGCAUAUGCCCCCGACUGCUAUGUAGCUAUUUUCAGAACCUGUUUUUAUUUAAUUCUAUGAUAAUUAAAAUUAACAUUUAUAAAAAUUAAAAUAAUUAAAAUAAAUGUAUUUCUUCACUCAAAAUUCUAUUUUCUUAACAAUGCAUUUCUCUCUUUCUUUUUGACAAAAGAAUAUAUAUAUAUAUAUUUACCAAGAACAUAAUUAUUUGAAUGAAACCUCAAUGCAAUUAAAAUAAAUAAAUAUAAGAACACAAAUGAUUUAAAUUUAAGAAGGAAAAAAUGUAUUUCUUUUUGUCAUAAUCUCCUUUUCUUAUUUAUUUAUUUUUUUCUGAUAAAAACCUUUGUUUUAGAAAUAUGAUUAUUUAAAUAGAAACUCAUCAUCACCUGAAAAGAAAAUUCCAAUUGCAAAAAAUAAAAAAUCAAGCCUUGAUAAUUUUUACAUAGCAGAAUGAAAAAAUAAAAAUAAAAAUAAAAAUUGAAAUGUAUAAAAUAUCAUAAUUUUAAAUGUUAAAGUAACAAGGAUAGUAUAAUCUUCGCAAAUGUUAACACCCGUAACAAUCCUUUAUCUAGUAUAGUUAAUGAUAAAAAUGAGGCUAUAUAUAAGAAAAAUGAGUUACUUAUAUAAAAGAUGGACACAGAACAUUAGUCUAUAAUUCUUGUAGGUUGGAGGUGGUGUUCAUCUCGUGACCACAGUCCCAACACGAACAACUCCUUAACAUUAUUUGAUGUCCUGUUACAGGAUCUACUCGGAGGAGGCGACUAUGGAUUGCCUUAGGUAAGUAAAUAUAAUCAUAAGAAAGCUAAUAUUCUUUUUUAACGAUGAUAUCGAUGAUGAAGCAUCUUAAAUUACAGGCAUAUCAGCAGCUGUGGCAGCAAUGAUGACUUUUUCCAUAAUUACAAUAUAUCUUACUAGAAGAGAAGGUUCUUUUGGUGCUGUCAUAGCAAUGACCUUCAGGCUGAAGAAAUCGCAGCAUGUUAUUAGGGUUAAAACAUUUAUGAGGGACUAUCAUUCUCUUACUCCAAAGCGUUAUUCGUAUUCAGAUAUCAAGAAAAUGACCAACUCAUUCGUCUAUACACUAGGCCAGGGAGGAUUUGGUAAUGUAUAUAGAGGAAAGUUACCAGAUGAUGGUCGUCUUGUAGCUGUGAAAGUCCUAAAAGAGUCCAAUGGUGAUGGAGAAGAGUUCAUGAAUGAAGUUGCAAGCAUCAGUAGAACUUCCCACGUGAAUGUAGUUACCCUUUUGGGAUUCUGCUAUGAGAGGUAUACAAGAGCUUUGAUUUAUGAAUUCAUGCCCAAUGGAUCUUUAGAUAGCUUUAUAUCUAAUAAAGGACCCCCACAUACAAACUGUCGUUUAAAAUGGAAAAAAUUAUAUGAAAUUGCAGUUGGUAUUGCUAGAGGCCUGGAGUACUUGCAUAGAGGGUGUAACACUCGGAUUGUGCAUUUUGACAUAAAGCCUCACAACAUUCUUCUUGAUGAAGACUUUUGUCCAAAGAUCUCAGAUUUUGGUCUCGCGAAGCUAUGCCAGAGCAAAGUAAGUAAGAUUUCGAUGAUAGGUGCCAGAGGAACUAUUGGUUACAUAGCGCCUGAAAUAGUCUGCAGAAAUUUUGGAGGAGUAACUUACAAGUCUGAUGUGUAUAGUUAUGGAAUGAUGGUUCUUGAAAUGGUCGGGCAAAGGAAAGAUUUUGAUAUGGGAUUGCCGGAAACCAACGAGUUGUAUUUCCCGGAUUGGUUUUAUAUGUAUCUUGAGCCAGGAAAGAUUUCAACACUUCAUGGAGGUAUAACGGAAGAGGAAGAAGAGAUUGUUGAAAAGAUGAUUUUAGUGGGUUUGUGGUGCAUCCAAACCAUUCCAUCACAUAGACCAUCAAUGACAAAGGUGGUAGAGAUGUUUGAAGGCAGUCUUCAAUCUUUGCAAAUUCCACCGAGACCUUCCCUUUCCUCUCCUAGAAGGUCCGUCCAAGAUCACUCUUCCACUGUAUCAUCACUGCCUCGCGUGUCGUCCCAGGGGGGUGGGGUAAACACAUUGUCUGUAGAUGAAAGUGACUUGUAACUGGAAAUUGCAAAUUUUAUUUAGCCUUAUAAAAAUAAAAAAACAAACCUUUAUUUGUUCUUCAUCUAAGUGGUGCUCUUGGUUGAAUUAAUUUUUUCUAUGAUAUAGCUCAUGCACGGGAGGAAACCCUCUCAGUGCUGGUAAGAGACACUAUCCUCUUACCUUCAUUUUUUUUGUUCAUGAUGUUAACAAAUCCUAGUAUGUACUUGAUGUUCAAUAAAUGGGAAGUGUAGAAUUGAUCUGUUCCUGCUUGCUUGUCAUUGUUUAUAAUUUCAAAGUUUAGACAAGACUAAGAGGCCGAGCUUUAUUAUUGCUUAUAGUUAAUGUCAUCAAAGCUUCAUUGCAAUUUUCAUGGCGAACUUCAAUUGUCAUUAUAACGACCAUGAACCUGAAUGGCCAACAUAGGAGGCAUAUAAUGAAUUCAUUUAUCGAAGAUGAAAUAGCAGGAACCAAUCCCUGCUUACAAGGCUCUAGGGAAGACGAAAACAAAAGGAAGGGAGGCUGUAAUAGCACAUUACAAAUAGAUGUUCCUUUUCACCUGUACUUGAUAGAGAAAUAAAGAGUUAAGAAACCUGCUGGUAGUAGAAUAUAAUUCGGUAUGCCAUCUAACUAGUCAAAUUUAUAUCUUCAUGUUUUGAUUUCUGCUACAGGACUUUUGAAGAGACACUGGCGACUUGUCAUUACAGAAGGUAGUACAGUAAUCAAAUUUAUAUCUUCCUCUUCCUCUACCUUUUUCAAUAACCAGUGGUGGUAACUAUUUCAUGGUUCUCACAUUUUCUUAUUUUAAGCCAUGUCAGCUCCUGUGGUGCUGUUUUUAGCAGUCUUUAUCAUUCGGUACAUUUUACUAAAAGAGAAGGAUUAUUUAGUGGCAAGACAAUGACCCUCUGACGGAAGAGCACGAAGCAAAAUGAAAAGAUUAAGGCAUUCAUGGUGAACUAUCACUCUCUUAUACCAAAGUGGUAUUCAUUUUUAGAUAUUAAGAAAAUUAACAACUCAUUUAACAACAGAUUAGAUCAAGGGAGAUUUGAUAGUGUAUACGAAUUAAGGGAAGUUGCUAGGUGGGUCUUGUGGCAGUAAAAGUCCUCACUAAGUUACUGAUGGAGAAGAAUUUAUUAAUGAAGUUGCCAGCAUCAGUAGAACUUCCCAUAUAAACACAGUUAUUCUUUUGGGUUUUUGACAUGAGAGGACUGAAAGAGCCUUAAUCUAUGAGUAAAUGCCCGAUGGAUCUCUCGAUAAGAUGGUGUUUGGCAUGAUCGAUAAAAUAAAAUAGGGUAAGAAAUUCAUUAAUUCCUUAUAUAUAUAUAUAUAUAUAUAUAUAUAUAUAUAAACAAAAUUUCUUUGAUUUUUUUUUAAAAUUUUGGAACCGGGAUUGAUCCUACCAAGUCAUGAGUAUUUGGGCCUUACCGUAGAUUGAUCCUAGUGUUAAGAUUUAAAACUAUAAUGAUAACUAUUUUUAUCUUUACGUUGCUUUGAGUUAAUUCAAGUUGACCAACCUAACCGACUUUUUAGUUGAGUUUUAAAAUUAUGAUAAUAAUUAUAUUUAUUCUUACGUUGACUCGGGUCAAUGGUCAAUCCAGUUUAUGACCCGAGUUUAGUCUCGGGUCGACUCCCAAGUAGGGUUUUAAACUAUGAUGAUAACCAUUUUUAUCUUUAUAUUGGCCAGGGUCAAUGGUCAACUCGGCCCGUGACUCGAGCCUGGUCUUGGGUCAAUUCUAAAGUUAGGUUUUAAAAUUAUGAUAAUAAUUAUUUUUAUCCUUACAUUGACCUGAGUCAAAGGUCAGCUUGACCUGUGACCUGAACCUAACCCUAGGUUAACCCCCAAGUUGAGUUUUAAAAAUAUAAUAAUAAUUGUUGUAACCCAUUUUUGAGUACCCUGUAAAUCAAAUAAAAAAAAAAUAAAAAAAAUUGAACAGUGUCGUUUUGACACUGUUCCUCUUCCUGCGUGCUGCUCCACGCCAAUGACUGCAUGCUGCUCCCAAAACUUAAAGCCCCACGCCACCUGCUUGAAGACCUCACCCGGUGUCCCCUGCUCCCCACCCGCAACAGCAGCCCGCUCCUUUCUAGCCUAUAAAUACCGCUCUUAACACCAGCAGCAGGGGGGAUUUUUUUGGACGAGAGAGAGAGGGCUCUUUUGAAACUGAAAGGGAGGAUGAUUUUUGGAAGCUGAAGGGGAGGCUUUUGAAAAUUUUGAAAUGGGAGUAAAGUUUGAACCGAGGACAGCUCACCAUCUCCUUCCCCCCGCAACAACACUGUGAGAAGCAGACAGGGGAAACAAAAACAGAGGAGAACAGAGCUGAAGAAAAACACCGAGAAGAACAAAGAAGAAAGCCCAACCACCGUCCAAGUCACUCCCCGGCCGCCACUACCAGCACCUUCACAAAGCUUCCAUAAAGAGGGAAGAACAUUGCUGACUGAAGGAAACCAAGAGAAGAAGCAUCGUCUCUGCAAAAGGGAAGAAGAAGAGAAAAUAGUUGUUGUCAUCGAGCUUCCUAGCCACUACCACCGUCAGAAUCACCGUGAGCCCUCAUUGGCUUCCUCUCCACCACCACCAGCAUCACUGUGAGUGUUCGACAUCGUCUUCGCUCCUUUCGGUUCCACGUUCAGGUAAGCGUUUUGCGUCCCUGUGCAUGUGAUUUUCUUUAGCAUUUUCACUGUGCAAGUGAAUUAUAAUUCACUUGAACAGUGAAAUGCAAAUGUUACUGUUCAAGUGAAUUAUAAUUCACUUGAACAAUACCAUCUAUUACUAUGCAUGGUUUCUUUUGCAUGUUACCAUGUGUGGUUUCCUUUGCCAUUUUGUGAAUUAUAAUUCACUUGAAGAAUACCAUUUGUAUAUAGUACUAAGCAUGCACACGUGAGCUUCCACCCAGGACACUAGCUCAGGCCAGUGACCUGAUUAGGCCUGCUGGGUCCAGCCCAGCCAUAUAGGCCGAACGGGGCCCAACCUAAAAAAAUUUAAUUAUUAAAAAUAAAAAUUCUUCAAAAAAUUAUUUCGAAAAAAUAAGUGAUUUUCUGCAAUUUUAUUACUGAUAUCGGUUUGUAUUUUUAUACUGUAAAGAUACAAAUCCGGUAUUAAAAUACCCGGUUUUCAAAAAAAAAAAGUUCAUUAAAAAAAUAUAUUUUGUUUUCAUGCAUACGACCUAGUCUCUCCAAUAUAUAUAUAAAUAUUAUAACAUCAUAUUUUCACACAACAAAGAAAAUUUCAAAACAAUAUAUUUAUUCGCAUGCAUUUUGGCUUUAAUAACCAGUUUAUUCAAGCCAUGAGAACUAGGCCAAUAUUUCAAAAAUUCCAAAAACAUUAUUGUGUUUUUUUUUAGUAUUUGGGGUUACGAUCUUAUACGUAAGACGUAUUUCGAAUAUUAAAUUUUUUUGUUAACGUCAGAAUUACCCAUUAAGAUAAGGAUCUCCUUACCGAGGAUGACUUUUCUUGAACCAUACAAACAACUAGGAAACACACGAAAAGACCUUAGAUUUUAUCAGACAAUAAAACAAUGCAGCUUACCUUAAUAUAUGGCGUAAUUGGGGUGCUAAUACCUUCCCUUUACGCAACCAGUCCCCGUGCCCGAUCACUGAGACCAGUUAGGGUUCCUAGUAACCAAAAUACUAGGUGACGACUCCCAUUCCAUUUUCCACCAACAAAAAACAAUAUUUUCUUGUCUCCCCAACAUUUUCCAGAGAUUAGAUAGAUAUACACUUCCUAAUAAAGUGGAACCGAUUUCGCCGCGACACCGCACACGUGCGACAAUAAUAAUAAUAAUACUUUUUUAUUUUUAUGUUGACUAAAGUCAAUAAUCAACCCGACCUGUGACCUAGACCCGAUCCCUAGCCGAUCUUAUAGUCGAGUUUUAAAACUAUGAUAAUAAUCACUUUUAUCCUUAUAUUGGCCCGGGUUAAUGGUCAACCCAACUUAUGACUUGAGCCUGGCCUCAGGUCGAUCACAAGUUAAGUUUUAAAAUUAUGAUAAUAACGAUUUUUAUUUUUAUGUUGAUCCGGGUCAAUAGUUAACCCCACCGUGACCUGGGCCUAGCCUUAAGUCGGCUAUAAAGUUGGGUAUUAAAAUUAUAACAAUAACUACUUUUAUUUUUAUACUAACUCGAGUUAAUGGUCUCGACCCGUGAUUAUUAUUGUCCCAAAUAUCAAAAACUACCUAAAUUUAUAUCUUAUAAAGAAUUCGAGCAAAUAAAAUAGAAAGCAUACCUUGAUGAAUAACAAUCUAUUUAAGAAAAUGCAGUCCUGAAUUUAAUUUGAUGAAAAACUUUGUUUCUCUUAACUUCAAUUAUUUUCAAGUAUGUUUUGAUGAAAAAAGAUGUUUGAUAAAAAUCAGUUUUCUUAAUAAAUUUAUUAUCCCAUACAUUCAUCAAUAGUUAUAAUAAAAAACCACUUUUCAAAAUUAAUCAUCGAAGAGCCCAUUAGCUAAUAUAUAUCCAUCACAUCUUACACCCAGCUUUCAAUUUCAUGUUAUAACCAUCUCUUUUUCCUAUCUAGCGCGUGGCCCAGGGACGAUUAAAGUAAGAAAUAAUUUGGUGUAUAAAGGUCUACUAAAAGUGCUAUGCAAUCGCUUGUUUCAUUUGGCCACAUCACCUUCCAAUUUAAGCCAAACUCAAUAGUCAGCUCUUAAAUUCUUGACGAAGCCUGUUUUCGGUAUUUUGUGAGUUCCCGUUAACACAAUUUUCUAGCCAGCUCUUAGGCUCCGUUCAGAAAAAUUAUAUUUUCUUAGAAAAUAAAUUUUGAGAAAGUGAAUUUUUGGAUAGUAAGUUAUUUUUUGAUAUUUAGUAGUGUUAUGAAAAAUAAAAUAAAAAAUAUUUUUUGGUGUUUGGUUAUGUUAUGAAAAUAAUUGAAAAAUAAUUUAUUAAUAAAUCAAUUUUUUUUAAGUUUAUCUAAUAUAUAUAAAAUAUUUAAUAUAAUAUUUAAUCACUUAUAAUAAAAAAGAAUGAAAUCUAAAAAGUAUAAUGAUGAUUUUUUUUAUUAUAUCCUAUAUUCAUAUAUAGUUUAUUUUAUAAAAUAUAACUAUAUAUGUCAUAUCAUAUUAUAGAAAAAUAACAUUUGUGAAAUAUUUUUUGAGUAAAACCUAUUAAUAUAUAUUUUUUUAAUUUUAAAAGUUUAAAAUAAGUUUUUUUUGUUUUUAUAUGAAGAAAGUCAAAUUAGUUUAUAGUAAGAGUUAGAUAUUUGGAUAUUUUUUUUGUAUGAAAUUUUUUUUAAAAAAUAAAUAAAUAGAAAGAUAUUGUGAUGUGUUUUUUUGGAUAAAGAUUAAUCAUUGAAGAGCCCAUUAGCUUAUCUAUAUAUCCAUCACAUCUCACACCCAGCUUCAAUUUCAUGUUAUUACCAUCAUGCCAUAUGACUUUUCCAGCCUUGCUAGAAUAUAAGCGAUCUUUGUUUUUCCUUGCAAGUCUCCUUGACCAACAGUGUUCUGUAUGUUCCGAGAGAGUGAUGUGCAGUGCAUAGACUUUAUGUUUUCAAUAAAGCACAGCGGAGAUUAAUGUGCUCAUCAUACCUUUGCAUGCAAGUCACCUGAACUUUUAAAUAAUGCAUUUAUUUUUGUUCCUCAUUUCUUUAUCCUCUGAACUUUCCCAGAAACAACCAAGCCCAUUUUGAAACCCAAUGUCACGCAAUCGGUUUCAAUCUUCUAUUUAAUUUAAUUUAAUUUCUAUGCAUCUAUUUCUUUGUUUACUAUCCCAGUCCAUACUCAAAGUGCGUUUUUUUAUUUGUCAUAGCACUCCAAUUUGAUGUCCAAUUUUUUGAAUAAACAUUUUACUAACAUGACCAUACCUUUAAAACAAAUAAUUCAAUUUUACAGAUUUUUAAUUUUACUCCAAAAGGUUUUCUCAAACUAAUCUACAAUUUUCUCAGUAGUUGCUAAUUAUAAAUACAAGUUUGACAGUAGUUGCUAAUUAUAAAUACAAGUUUGACAGUUGGAGGAGGGCUUGUACGUAAUAGUUAUUAACUAGUUUGUUAAUAAAGAAAUAAUAAUUUUUUUAAAAAAUAAUGAAAUUAAAAUAAUAAUAAUUACAAUUUAAUAAAUUAUUUCAAAUAAAAUAAGUAACAAUCAAAAGAAUAAGAUCAAAUUUGAUAGAUAAAAAAUUUCAAUUAAAAAAAUAAUAAUAAAAAAAAGCAAAUAACAAUCAUAUAAAUGAGAAUCAAAGUUAAUAUAAAAAUCAAAUUUUAAGGGAUGAAUUUAAAAAUAAAAAAUUAAACAAAAUAUAUAUUAAUUAAAAUUUUGAUGAUCAAAUUUGAUAUAAUCAGUAAAUAAUAUAAUAUUUUUAAAAUUUUCACAAUUUCUGGAAGAUAUUUUCUUUUUAAAAUAAAAAAAAAAUACUUUCCUAUAAAUCAAACCAGAUUAAAAAAUGUUUUUUAUUAAUCAAUUUUUUUAAUAACAAACAAACCCUAUUAUUUUCUCUUAAUUUUUGUUAUUAGGUAAGAGAAAGACCCGAUUUCAUGUAAUUAUCAUCAACCACAUAACUUUCCAAACUAUGCGAGGAUUUUUUUGCGUGUCCUUUAAUAUAUUUGACCGAUUAUGUUCUCUUCUUUUAGUCCCCAUGACAGUGAUGCAUCAUAGCAUACAAAGACUUCAUUUUGCAAAUAGAGGCCUCGUCGAAAGAGAUUAGUGUGGUAGCCCUUUCCCAAGAAACAAAUAAAUGAAAAACUUUGAGUCCACCAAGCAUUUAAAUCCAAGUAUUGCGUUCACAUCUAUCCCUUUCUGAUGUAUUUAUUUACCUGAAAUUGAUAAUUAGCACGUCAAGACUCAUCUCUUUAUACUCGAAACAACCAAGCCCAUUUUGCUAGCACACAAUUCCAUUUCUCCUAUGCUACUUCCUCUUGCCAGAAUGAAUUCCUCGGCCUUUUCUUUUCUUUCAGAUUUGGUUCUUGUAUUGUUGCUCUUCAUUCAAGUCCCUUCAUCCCUAGGCAACGAUGACCUGUUCACUGCCUGUAGUAAAAAGUUUGUAUGUGGGGGUGUUUCCGCGGGUUUUCCGUUCUGGGGAAAUGACAGACCACCUGCCUGUGG